UUUAAAUAAAAGUAGUUCACAAUAAUUUAUUAUUUAAAAAACUCCCUGAAAUUUAAAAUUAUUGUUAUAAGUAUACCAUUAAAUCAUACAGAAUUUAAUUUUUCUUUCAAAUACUACAGUUAAUAAGGAAAGAGAAUAUAGUACAUAUCAAUAAAACUUUUAAAAAAGAAAUAUUGUUUGUAAUACCAAUUUUUUCUGCCCGGGCCCAUACAAAAUAAAAUACAGCAGGCCCAUCUACAGACCAAACCCAUAUUCAAAAAAAAACCUAGGCUAAGAAGCAGCAAGCUUCAGCCGCACGCCCAACAGCAGCCUCCCUAACCGCCGCCGCAUCCUCCGCGCACAUACACCUCUUCCACGGCCUCCAUACCUACGAGAAAAGCGGAUCCAAACAGCAAUAGACGCAGCCAAUAAUGAAAUAGGAUUUUUUACUUUUUUUUUGCUGUAAUUUUGGCUAUAAAAAGCCAUCAAAAAUCUGUAAAAAAGGGGAGGGAUUUUUGGAGUUUAAAAGAUACGAAAUAGAGGGAAAGAACAGAGAUCGAACUUGUUUUUUUUAAAGGUUUUUUUCGUUUUACUUUGCAGUGCCUAUUGUUUUUAUUUCCAUAUUUUUUUCUUUUAUUUUCAUUUUGUUUUAUUUAAAAUAACAAAGGAAAGAAAGAAGAGGGGAAGAUCUUACCUCUUUCGCCGGAGCUGACGAGCCGUUGCCACCACCGACGAUUGGGCCGUGGCGCAUGGGAAAUGGCGGCGCAAGGACGCUAGGAGUCCAAACCUAGCAGAGCAAAACAGGGGGGGAGGGCUUUGUUUUUUUCUCUUCGGUUGUAAUUAAUUUUGAAAGAAAAAAUUUGUUUUAAAUAACAAAAGUGAAACGGCGCCGUUUUGAUGGCCAGACCCGCGCGUUCUGGCUUUAAGUGGGAAAUUUUCGCUUUCAGUCCCUUCUUUUUGCGACACGUUUCAAUCAAGCCCAAUUGUUGUUUUUUAAAUUUAGCCAUGUACUUUAUUUUUUGUUUCAAAUUGGCCCUUUGUUGCGCAGCGCUUUGGAGGGUGGGAUUAAUUUCCCUUUAGGUCCCCAUGGUCGUUCGCGCGUUCAAGUUGGUCCCUUUUUGUUUAUUCUCGAAUUUACCCCAUUCUUUUGUCUUUAAGUUCAAUUUAGUCUAUUUUUUUUGAACUAUUCAACUUUUUUUUUUUGUAAUUAUUAUAUUAUACCAUCAUUAUUUAUUAUUAUUAUUAAUACUAUACUUAUUAUUUUUCAUGAACAUACGCAUUUUAUAUAAUAUAUGUUCUAAUUUCAAAAAACGUUUUACUUUUGUAAAUGUUAUUUUAAUUUCAAAAACGUUUUCCGCUUUUUGUAAAUAUAUAAUUCUAUAUUUUAUUAUAAAUAUUUUUUUUCCUCUAUUUUACAAAUGUAUAUAUAUAUGAAUCUACAUACGCAUUUUAAAAUACGCAUGCACCUUACAUAUCUAUAUAUAUAUAUUUUAUUCUACUUACAUAAUUUUUAUAUACAUUUAUAUUUGAUAUAGAUAUACAUUUUUGUAAUAUAUAUAUUUCUCAUAUGUUAUAAUUCAAAACAUACAUUUAUACAUUUUCUAUAAUAUACAUACACUUUCCAUUUUUUAAUUAUUGUAAAUAUUUUUUUUGUUAUUUCAUGUAUCCCAUUAUUUUAUAUACAUAUUGUACAUAUAUAUAUGUAUUUGAAUAUAUACGUAUACGAAUUUUCGUGAUUUACCUAUGUAUAUAUACUUAUAUAUUUUAUUUUUCUAUUUUGUAAAUAUAUACACAUCUACAUGUUCUUUAUUCUAUUUUUACAAUUUUCAUUACAUGUAUACAUGCAUAUUUUUUAGAAAUUAUUAUAAGUUUGUUGUAUAUAUUUCUUCACUUGCCUUUUUAUAUGUACACUUAUAUUUAUGUGUUAAGUAUGCGCCCCCUCAUAUUUUCGAAUUUGCUUGUAUAUUGUACUUGUAUAUAUAUUGUAAAUACAUAUUCAUAUACGUUUUACAUUAAAGUUUUGUUUCACAUUGUACCUUAACCUUAACAUACCCUUUUGAAAAUAUAUUUUGGUUUUAACCAUUCAUCAAGGUUAUUUUCUUGAUUUAAAAGUUUUUUUUUUGAAUAAAAGCAUUAUUUGAGGUUUGGGAUUUUCGAGGGAAAUUGAGCCCUAACGUAUUGGGUUCUGAUUUUCUUUGUCAAUCUUAAAUGAUCGAGAAUACUCUUUAUUCAAAAUGCAUUAGUAUAAAAAUCAUUUUUGGGAACUUAACUUGUUGUGCCCUAACGUAUUGGGUGUGGCCAGUUACUUUCUCGAAAUGAAGAUUUUCGCAUAAAAUAAAAGUGAUAUUCAAAGUUCGGGGAUUAUGAGGAAUCGUACCCUAACGUAUUGGGACUCGAUUUCUUUACAUGACUUGAACAAUUGGUUAUCCUUUUGCAAAUUUCAUCAUUCAAGCUUAUUUUAAAAUCUUUUUUAACUUUCGACACUAAGACAUCAAAUAAUCAAUUUGGUACCGAUUUUGGGCGUUACGAGGGUGCUAACCCUUCCUCGUGCGUAACUGACUCCCAGACUCGUUUUCUCAAAAUUCGUAGGCCAAAAUAAUUUUUUUAAAAGGUGGGCCGAUCACACCUUAGUAAAAGAAUCGGUGGCGACUCCAGUUUUAUUUUUAAAAGUCGACAACUAAAUUUUUGUUUUCAAAAAAACGGUUUCGACAUUGUUUAAUUAGUUAAUUUAAAAAUCAAUAGAGUCUAAAAACGGUCAGAAUGAAAUAUUAGAUUUUAUAAGAUUUCAUUAUUCUAAAAAAUAAAAUACGACAAUGCUUAAAAAUUUUAUCAAAAAAGUUUUAAAUUUUAUAUAAAAUUAAAAAAAACAGUAUUAAAAUUUUUUAUAACAAAUUUAAAUAUUAAUUAGUAAAUUAUUUUUGUAAUAUUUAUAUGUAUUUUCAUUUUUAUAAAUACUAUUAAAAUUUAUUAAAAAAAUUGAAUGCUAUUUAAAAACAUUAUUAAAAAAUAAAAUAUUAUAUGAAAGUUAAAAUGACCUAAAAACAUAUUUUAAAAAUUUAAAUACUUUAUACAAUAUUUAAAACUGUUUAAAAAUUUCUAAACCCUAAAAAAUCAAUAAAAUAUAAUUUUUUUUCUAAGAAAUCAAUAAAAAUAUAUUUAUAAUUGAACUGUCAACAAAAUUGUGAGAAAUAUUUAAAUUUUAUGAAAUUUUAAACUUAAACUGUCAAUAAUAGAAAAUUACCUCAGUGACUUGGGAUAAGAAGUUCAACAUUUAUGGAUCACAUCGUUAUGAUCGAUCGUAGGCCUUUCGUGGGGUCGAUAUAUAAUCAAAUAGACUGUAAAUUAUGAAAUCCGGUGAACUAAUACUAUAAAUUCUGAUAUCUAUUCAUAUAUUUGAGAUGUUAUUUGUUAAAUAAACCUUGUAAUAGGCUAUGAGAAACUUGAGAAAUAUUAUGUAUGCUUUGUAUCUGUUAUGUCAUACAUGUAUAACUGUAUUAUGUCCGAUUCUGUUCUAUUCUUUUCUGUAUUUGCAUCUGGGGUGGGUUAUAUUAUGUGGAGGAAGUGUUUCUUUGAAUGGCGAUAAUUCGCCUAUUACACUGGCAGCUCAGCUACAAAUAUUCUGAAAAGUGUCAUAUCGACACUAAGUGGUGUGUAGGGCUGGAUGAGUGUUUCAUACCCCAUAUGGUGUGUUGGGAUGGUCGGAACUAGUGUGUAGCGGAUGGGGUAGGAAUAUAUGUCUGUAUUUGUACUGCUCUAAUAUGAAUAUGUUCUGCUAAAUCUAUCUGAUAUAAAUUAACUGUUUAAAGUUAUUCGUUAUACAUUGAGUUUUGUAAACUCACUUUCUGUUUGUUUGAUAUUUUUUGGUAAUCCUCUGACUUUGACAAAUCGGUGCGAAAGAGCUCAGUUAAAUUGAUUUAGUUUCAUUAUCUAUUAUAAUUAAAUUUUGGGUUAUUGUGUUUUAUUAUUUUUGGACUGUUGGGAAUUUUUGGAUUGUUUUGGUUUUUGAGAUUUUAUUUUCAAUUUUUGCAUGAUACUAUUAAAAAUGUUUUAUCGGAAAUGUUUGUUUUCUUGCGAAACAACUGAUUUCAGAAAAAUAAACUUAGUUUUCCAAACAUAAUGAUCUAAGAAUUUCCACUGCUAAUAAUUCAUUUUAGAAAAAGUAAGCAAACAUCGUUUCAACUAUAAAGUUAAGUUAGAUGUAUUUUUCUCUUAAAUUGAGGUUUAAGUAAUAAAAGUUUACGACAUUUUUCCAAAUUGUACAAAAAAUUGGAUUUACAAUUGUUUUAUAUAACAUCUCUAGAUUUGGCCAUAGCGUCUAGUUGGAUUUCGGGUGUUAUAUUUAGUGAUAUCAGGUCAGGUUGCAAAACUUAGGCUGUGAAAUUUUCGGUUCAAAAUUUUGUGAAAACUAUUUUUCGAGUAAAGUUUGUCGAAACUACUUUUUGGAAACAAAAAAUAGCGUUGACUUAAAAUAUGAAAAUUGGAGUCGCCACCAAUCUUUUUUAUUUAGGUGUGAUCGGAUCACCUCCUAAUUUAAUCAUUUUAAUAAAAGUUAAAAUUUACUAAAACGAUAAUUUUUGGUCUACAAAAUUCAGAAAAUGGGUUCAGGAGUCGGUUACGCACGAGGAAGGAUUAGCACCCUCGAUACGCCCAAAAUUGGUACCUAGUUGAUUAAUUAAUGUCUUAAUGCUGAAUAUCAAAAACUCGAAAAGAUUAAAAAUACGAUCUUUUUAUUAAAAAACUUGUAUAAAUCAAAAUGUGUGCUAAGACCCCCUUAUUUCGGGAGAUAGAAUGUCACAUCCAAUGAGUGAGGAUGUGAUGUUUCGCAACCUCAAAAAUGAGAUUGUCUUUUGAUUUUUAAAACUCAUGCAGUGAAGUUUAAAAAUGAUAUUCAAUUGUUUAAGUCAGAUGAAAAAUCGAAGCGCAAUAUGUUAGGGCACAAUUCCUCAAAAUUCUAAAUAUUGAAUAUUGCCUUUAUUAUUUUUUAGAAAAAUCCUCAUCUUGAGAAAACAACAUGUCAUAUCCAAUGCAUUAGGACACAACGUAUCGAAUUCCUGAGAAUGAGCUUUUUAUUUAUGUGUUUUGAUUAAAGAAUAUUCCCAAUUAUUUAGAUUCAACGAGGAAAAUUGGAACCUAAUACGUUAGGGCUCAAUCCUCUCGAAGAUCCCAAAUACCGAGUAUUGCGUUAUCUUGAAACCUUUUGAAUAAAAUGAUUCCCAAAACUUAAACCAUAUUAAACAUAAUUUUUGAGCAAAUAAAGCAUGAUGGAAAUGAUAAUAUGCAAUGCGAAGUAAUAAUUCGUAAGCCAAAAAAAAAUACUCUAAUGGAUGACAAAUAAUCAAUAAGUACAAGUAAGCGAUACAAUACACAUAAGGGCAAUAGUCACAUAUUAUGUAAAUACAAACAUUAAUCUUUGCAAGCUAAUCUAAAAAAAAUACCAAACAAAUUAACAAAUAUGAAAUGUGACAAGUUUUUGAAAUAACUAAAAAACAAACAACAUGUAAGAAGGGAAAUUAUAAUCAAUAAAUUAUAUUUACAAAAAUGAAAGUUUGAAAUAAAUCAAAUAGUAUUAAAAAUAAAUACUACAUAAAAUAAUAGUAUUUAAAUAAAUUUUAAAGUAAAUUGUAUAAGUAGAAAAUCAAAAUAAAUAGUACACAAAAUAACAUACAUAUAUUAAUCUAAACAAGUAAUACAUGAAAACUUAAUAUAAAUUAUAAUGUAUGCAUAUAAUAAUGUAUAUAAAAAAGUUGAGAUAAACCAAGUAUAUAAUAAAAUAGGGUUUUAAGAUAUAAAUUAUGUAUAUAUAAAAAUAGGUUUUUAAAAAAUAUAUAUAAACACAUUUGAAAGAAAACUUAAAGUUAACAAUUAUAAUAAUAUGAAAUCAAUAAUAUAUAUAUAGAAUAAAAAUACUUUAAUAUAAAUUAUACAUGUAUAUAAAAUAGUAUAAUAAAAAUAUUUUUAUAUAAAUCUUCAAAACAUAGAAAUAUAUAAAGUGAAUUUUUUUAAAAAAUAAAUUAAAAAUAAAAAUCAUUAAAAAUAUAUACAUUAUAUUGGAUUUUAAAGAAUAAUACAUUAUAAAAUUAAAUGAUAAUAUAUGACAAUAAUAUAAAAACCUAUAGUAGAAUAAAAUUACGUAUAUAAAAAGGUUAGACUAAUAUAAAAAAGAUAAUAAUAGAUUAAUAUUAAACCCAUUAUUUUAAUAGCAAAAAUCACAAAGCAAUGGACUAAUUUGUAAUGAAAACAGAAACUUAAGGGCAAAUCUGAAAUAAAUAAAAAGAAAAGGAUCGGAUCAAAACACGCUAUACAAGCGGAGGGACCAUUUGCGCAAAUAUCUCUCUGAAGCAAAAACAUGCGGAUCCUUCCCCUAGGUUGGGUCACCGCGCGGGUCAAAACCCACCAAACAGCGUCGUUUUGGCGCUAUGGACCUUAGCUCAAAAUGGCGCCAUAUUAUACUAUUAUUUAAACAAAACCUUCUUUUUUUAAAACAUUUGCAGCCUGAGUUUAAAAAAAAAAUUUGCUGCUCAUGUUCUCUGCUAGGGUUUCAACGCUAGUUUCACGAGGCCGAAAGCUCCGCCGAUCUUCGGCCUUACAGCCCUUGCCCGAACUUUGACUGUGACGAAGCGAACAAGGAUCCAAUCGGCGCUAACACUGAGGUAAAUCCCUUCCCUCUUCUUUAUUUUUAUUUUACAAACAUUAACAAUAAUAAACGAACAUCGAAGAAACAGAAAAGAAAAAAGAAAUCAAAAAGAAAAAAAAUCAGAUUUCAAAUCACCUCACAAAAAUUUAAUUGCUUUCUGAUUUCUUUGGUAUCUUUUUUUUACUUAUUUCGUAUUGUUCGCGUAAAAAACUUACGAAGGUCUUUUCUUCUAUUUUAUAGCCAAAAUCUAAAAUAUAUAUAUAAUAUAUGUUUUUUUCUGUGCUAUUUUUUCGUCCUAUUUGCAGGUAUGAAGACCAGCUGGCAGUGUACGGAGGCGGUGGUGCAGCACGCGCUUGGCUGAGGCGACUAGAGGCAUGCGGCGGCUGGGUCUGCUGGGGUUUAAUUUGGGCCUGGGAUUGGGUUUGAUUUAAUGGGUUUGAUUUUUGGGCCGUAAAUGGGCUUUUUAAUAUUAGACUUUUAUUUUUUAUUUGGAUUAUUAUUAUUUUUUGUGUAUGUGGGUCGGGGCAGAAAUUGGGCUCUACAAAUUUCAUUUCUGCAUUAAUCUGAAAAUUAAUUAUGUGAAAUAUCGAGUCUCUGACGUUGAUCCUGUAAGUACUUCUGACUUAGAUAAACUUUAGUUUUAGAAAACUCUAAAAUUAUUAGAACUGUACUUGGAUAGUUAGAGACUGAAACAUCUCUAUAAAUUCUUUUGAUAACUUUUUGAGUAUAAAAUGUUUGCUAAUAAAUACUAAAAUUGAUACAUAAAAUUCGUAAUAUAGGUAAUAUAUACGAUGAGUACUCGUGGAACACAUGGACGUGGUAACCGUAGGCAUGGCGGGCGCCGAAGAGAGGCUCGAGCUGAGUCAUCCUCGAUGGGUACCUGAUAGGCUAUUGUUGGAGAGAGCAAUAGUCUUGAGAGAAGAAAUUUUGAAGAUCAAAGUCAAAAUCUGACAUGUAAGGCCUUUAAUUGCUUGAAUAAUAAGCAUUUCCAAACUAAAAGGAUUACGAUUUCUUCAAGAAUUUGACCUGCAGACAUAGUUGAAACAUCAAGGUGUUAAAUUACCUAUUUUGUUAGUGUAAAUCAAAGAGGCUUUUUAUUUUUUUUUUCGUUGUGAAAUAAUAUGGAUAUGUUAGAUUCUAAUCAUAUUUAAGUAUAUAUUAGUUCUUGAAGAGUUCUUAUUUUUUGGUAUUUAUAUUGCAAAUAUUUUUUUUAAAAUUAAGAAAAAAGGGGGGGGGGCAAAUGUGUAUAAACUACAGACAUCAAGGAGAAGGCAUACCUUCUAGGUUAUUUAACCCCAAGUAUAAUUGUUUAAGUUGUGUCAAAUUCCCAAUGCUUUUUGGAAUGAUCCCACUAAAUUGAUUAACAGACAAUUCCAAAAUUUGAAAGUUGCAGCAUUUGUCUAUACUUGAUGGAAUAGAACUUGAUAAUUCAUUUCUACUGAUCAAGUAAAGCUCUUUAAGCUUGGGAAGAUGGACACACAAAUCAUCGGGCAAGCCACCAGAAAGACUAUUAUCACGAAAAUGAAUCCUUUUCAAAGAAGAAAUGUUAAAGAUGGAAGAUGCAACCUGGCCAGGUAAUUGAUAAAACUUUGACUUAAUCCUUUAAAAAAUGUAAAAAUAUAGGCUAUUAAAAUGGUAAAAUUACAUUUUUACUAUUGUAAAAAUUACAAUUUAAUUUCACUCCUAAAAAGAUUUUCUGGCUUCGACCCUAAUAAAUUCUUUGGCAAAAGAUUAAAAUAAAAUUAUACCGUAAAUGAAAAAAAGAAACUAAGAAAAUCCAAUCUAACAAAGAAAAUAACUUGAUGUCCAAAAGCUACCAUAAACCGUAAUUCAUGGGAAGGCUUGUUGCUCAUUUUAUUGGUUUCCAUUUUGAUUUUGCAAAAGAAGUUUGAAUUUUGAAGAGAGCCUACUACGUGAGAGCAAAAGAAAAAAAAUAGUUUAUAUGAUUAAAAUUCCAGAAUAGAUUAAAAAUGUUGAAUUAAAGAUAAAAUUACUCACCAUCUCUGUUAAAAAUGUUGGAUGUUGUUUAGCAACCUUUGUUUGAUUUUCUUCAGCUCAACCACAACAUCUUUCAUAUCUUUUCUUUCUUCUGGCAACUCAGCUGAACAAUUCAAAGCCAACUCCAUGAUAGAUGAAAUACAAUUUGCUUUAACAACAAUGUACUCAUCCUCUCUUCUUAAUAAAUCAACAUCUGCAAUUUCUAUCGCUCCUUUAGGCAAUGAACUUUCCAUCCAAUGCCUUAUAGUCUCUUCUUCAACAAAAGCAUUAUCAGUUGGCUUUUUCUUUGUGAAAGUUUCUAUAAGGACGAUCCCAUAACUAUAGACGUCAGAUUUUAUAGAAACAACUCCUGCUGAUCCAAAUUCUGCAUUUCAAGUAUAAUUAGAGCAUCGUUCAUCCUCAAUUAUUUCUAAAAUGCUUAUUCAAAUAUAUAUCCACAUACACAUGAAACAAAAAUAUAAAAUGCAAAUUAGGAAAAUAAUCAUACAAAAAUAAAAAAAGAAUUCACCUGGUGCCAUAUACCCGAUAGUUGCAAGAGUCAUGGUUUGCUUCAUUACUUCACCUUCUCCCAACAAUUUGGCAACGCCAAAAUCUCCAACAUGUGCAACCAUGUCUUCAUCUAGUAAAAUAUUGCUUGGUUUUAUGUCACAAUGAAUUAUAGGUGUUGGAUGUCCAUUGUGGAGGUGUUCUAUAGCUACCGCAACAUCUAUCAUUAUCUCGACCCUUUGUAUGAUAUCAAGGAAACAAUUUUCAGAAUGUAACCAUUUAUCAAGGUUUCCAUUAGACAUGUAACCAAGCACCAAGGCUUUGAAGUCAACACUUGAGCAGCAAGUAAUGACCUUCACAAUAUUACGAUGAACUAUAUUACGCAUAGCAUCACAUUCAAUGUCAAAACUCCUAAAUGCUCUCUCUGUUUGCAAAUUGAAAACUUUUAUUGCAACUUCCAUUCCAUCUGAAAGCCUCCCUUUAUAUACAUAUCCAAAACUCCCUGAACCAAGCAUAUUGCUUUCCUCAAAUCCAUUAGUUGCUCGUGAAAGUUCAGCAUGUGAAAUUCUUCUCGGUGUCUUCAAAGACAACAAAUCAUCUUUAACUGGUAGAGUUGUACUCCUUUGGCAUCUUCUAUACAUAAUAGUUAAGACUAUUAGUACUACGACAAUACCAAUUGUUGGUAAACCAUACCUAAAAGCAUGCAAUAUAAUCAUUUGGGAGUUUUUGUGGAUGUCGUUUUUGCAAGGUGGGACUAGCAAUCUAGGUGGACCACAAAGUGCACAAUUCUUCAUGAAUGAUGUGCUAGAAAUGUUUGAAAAACAUCCUUUGCUGGGAAUUUCCCCUUCAAGUCUAUUGAAAGACACAUUAAAAUACUUUAGAUAUAAAAGCUGUUCCAAAGAUUUGGGAAUGACUCCAGAGAAAUUGUUAUUGCAUAAAUCCAAGAAUUCCAAACUAAUCAACCCAUCAAAUGAUUCAGGGAUACGACCAUGUAGUAUAUUAUUUGAUAAAUCUAAUGAAACCAAAGUUUGAAGACCCCCAAAUGUGGAUAAGAUAUCGCCCAUGAGAAGAUUCCUUGAUAAAUUUAGUCUCAGUAGACUCCUAAAAUUUCCAACAUCAAUAGCAUGUGAAUUGUGAAGACGGUUUGAUGAUAAAUCUAUUUCUAAGAUAUCUUUAAGACUCCACAAAGUUGAGGGUAUUGUAGAACUCAAUUUGUUGGAAUCUAACCAAAGAUAUCUCAAAGCAGAAAUAUUACCUAAACAAGAGGGUAUGGAUCCAUGCAGCUUAUUCAACCCUAAAUGCAUCCCGUAUAGUCUCUCCAAACCACAGAGGCUUUCUGGGAUAGGCCCUCCUAAUUUAUUAGAGGAAAGAUCUAGACCUUGCAGAUUCCGCAGUCCUCCUAUUGAUGCUGGAAUGAAUCCACUUAAUUUAUUAUGGCCAAGUUCUAAAACCAAUAAGUUGGUUAAGUUACCUAUUUCCAUAGGAAUAAUGCCUUGAAGCUCACAAUUAUAGGCAAGAAAGAAUUGAAGGGAUUUUGAAAGGUUCCCGAUAUAAGUAGGAAGAACACCACUCAAUGGAUUUCCUGAAACUCCUAUGGCUUUCAAAUUCCUACAAUUCGUCAAAGAAGAAAGAAAGCUCCAGUCAUGAUCAGUAGCAGAUCCUGUGAUCAAAUUAUUGUCAAAGAUUUUGAGCACUUCAAGGUGUUUUAAGCUGCCUAGCGUUUUAGGGAUUGGGCCAGAGAAUAAGUUAUGUGACAAGGAUAGAAUCUUAAGCAUGGAAGCAUUGGAGAUAGAGUUGGGAAUGUUUCCGCUAAGUUUAUUUCCCCACAAUAAAAGAAUCUCAAGCUUUGGAGCAUUGGUGAUGGGUGGUAAAUUACCUGUAAAAUAGCAUCUUUUAGUAUACAUAUUCACAAAAUAUAUAAUACAUUAAAAUAAAAACUGUAAAACUUUAAAUCAAUUAAGAAUAAAAUUUUGGCAUGGAAAAAUGUGAUGAAAUCAAUUAGAAAGUUGAGACAUAAUAAGAAGUUUUGAGUACUAAUUAGUCUUUGUGAUUUGUAUAGACAAAACAUAUAAUACACUAAUAAUUUUUUAAAAUAUUGUAAAACUUGAAAUAAAAUAAAAAUAAAAGUUUGGCAUGAGAAUGUGGCAUCUAAUCAAUCUUAAAAAUGAGACUCACACUGAAUAAUAAUUAGUUAUGAUUUGGGAAACAAAAAUGUUAAAGCCAUUGUUUUUAAUGUAAACUGGUAUGAUUCUUAUCUAUUGGGUUAAUUAUUUAUUUUUAUUAAAUUAUAGUGUAAAAUUUAAAUAUUAUUAUUUGCUCAAAAUUUUUGUAUUUUUCGUAUAUUUGAAAUUCAAUCUUUAUAUUUUUUAUUUUCUGUGAUUUAGUCUCUCUACUUUUUUUAUUAAAAAUUUUAGGUUCAUUUAUUAACACUGUUAAAAAGUUUUUGUAUUAGUAUGACAUUUUGAAAAAUAAAAUAAACUUGAUAUCUAUGUUUUUAAUUAUUCCAAAUAUUGUUUUACUAUUUCAAGAUAAAUUAUUUGUGUCUAGACCAAUAUCUUAAGAACUAUUGUUGCAUGUUUAAUUAUUCUAAAAAAUUAUUGAUUGAGUCUUAGCUUGAUUGGCAUGUGCAUUGUUGCCAAUAUAAGAGAAUGUGGGAUCAAAUAUGCUGAAGUUCAUUAUCCUCCUAUUAUGAAUUGGGGAGUUGGUAAAGUAUUAAAUUUUGAUAUAUUUUAAAAUAUUAAAAAUUUAUUAAAAUAUUUUUUAUAAAAAUCGGUUGUACCACAAUAUACAAUUUUAAUAUCAAAUUUUUAAUAUUUUUAAAAUAUUAGCGAAUAUAUACUUUAUUUCAAGUUACACAAUUUUUACUAGUUUUUAACUUUUUUUAAAAUUUUUAUCGUCUUUUAUAAUUUCUAAUAAUUUUUUACAAUAUUUAACAAUUUCUAACCAUUUUUAAUAAUUUUAUUACUUAUUAAAAAUUAACAAAUUAACUAUUUUUUAUUUUUUUAAAACAAUUAUAUAUUUAUAAUGUAGUUAUUUUUUUAUAAUUUUAUUUGAAAUUUUAAAGUUUUUUUGGUUUGUUUUCUAGAUGAUGAUGCCAUCAUGAUGUCAUCAUAUGCCACAUGGCAAUUUAUGAUUAGUUGAAUAUCUCAAUUUAUUUUUUUAAUGUCCAAUGGACUAAACCAAGAACACUUGAUUAUGUUAGAGACUACACUAGGAAUGUUUGAUAACAUUAGGUACUAAAGUAGGAAAAAAAAAAAAAGGAGCAAUACGAUGUAGGGAGUAAACUGUGCAUUAAGCCAUUAAAAAUAUAUCUAUAAUAUAUAUAAAUGCAUGGAUUUUGAGAAACUUUUGAAAUGAUAAUUAUAUAGUCUUUGUUUUUUUACUAUAUUAUUGAAUUUGUUAUUUUAAAUAUUUUUUUAUUACUUUUAAGAUUUAUCAUAUGUAUGGAUAAGAAUUUUGGUUUUACUAAAAUAUUUGGUUAAAUAAAUUCACUUCAUAAGAAGAUUUAGCAUCCUUGUAAAUAACAAUUUUGAUUCUAUUAAAAAAUUAUUUUAAAAUAUAUAUAAUAAAAUUUUAAAAUUUAUAUUGAAUUACUUUAUACUUAAAUUAUUAUUAGAAACUUUAUCAUACACAUACGUGUAUGAGAACUAUGUAUUUAGAACAUAAAUUUGUGUUUUAAAAUAACUUAUGAUAAAUAAUGAAAUGUAUAAUUUGAAACUAUUUAAUAAAAACACAUGGCUUAUCUACAAUAUUAAAAUAAAAAUAGCUUAAAUUGUAAGCAAAACAUAAUUUAAACAUAUGAAUACAUUAAAUUAAGAAUACUAAAUGAAUACAGUUAUUUAUGAUGGUGUUGUCUUCAAUUCCUAAGUUGGUGUCAAGUUAAUUUGUGACAUCAUAAAUUUAAGGUUUUAUGUAUUGAUGUGGAUUCAAAUAUCACCAUUUUUUUUAAAAUAAAAUUUAAAAUAAAUACAUUUUCCACAUUGGUUUCUUUUCUUCUACAGACAAAGGAUUUCUAAUGAUUUUUUUUUUAAAAAAAAUUACUUAUAUAAAAUAGAUUAGUUUAUGCAAUAAAAAUAAUUUCUUUUUUAAAGUUUAAUAGAAAUUAAAAAACAAAAAAAAAAUCAAUUCAUAUAAAGCUUAUUGUUUAUUAUCAGAUUAAAAUGAUAAAAGUAUACGAUAAACCCAUACUUGACGGAAUGUUACCAGAUAAUUCAUUUUUAUUCUAGUAAAGCCCUUCAAGCUUGAGAAUAUGUUGACACAUAUCAUUAGGCAAACUACCUGAUAGGUUAUUGUUGGAGAGAUCAAUGGCCUUCAGAGAAGAAAUGUUGAAGAUCGAAGUUGGAAUCUGACCUGUAAGGCCUUUAAUUUCUCUAAUAUUAAGCAGUUCCAAACCAAGAAGAUUACCGAUUUCCUCAGGAAUUUGAUCUGCACACAUAGUCGAAAAAUCAAGAUGUGAAACUACCUAUUUUGUUAGCAUAAGUCAAAGAGGUUUUCUUUUCUGUUCUACAUAAUUUGCAGAUGUUAGAUUUUAAUAUUUUUAAGCAUAUUUGUUUUCAUCAAAUUAACUAUUUUGAACUAUUUUGCCUUGAAUGAAAUAAAAUGCUCAUAUUUUUGUUAUCUAUUACUAAUCAAACUCUUUUAUAAAAAAAAAUACUUUAAACUAAAGAAACCAAGAAAAUUCAAUACCUUCUAAGUUAUUCAACUCCAAAUAUAAUUCUUUGAGUCGUGUCAGAUUUCCAAUACUUCUUGGAAUGAUCCCCCUCAAUUUAUUAUCGGAAAAUGCCAAUAUUUUAAGGUUGCUGCAUUUGCCCAUACUUGAUGGAAUGUUACCAGAUAAUUCAUUUUUAUUCAAGUAAAGCCCUUCAAGCUUGGGAAGAUGUUGACACAUAUCAUUAGGCAAACUACCUGAUAGGCUAUUGCUGGAGAGAGCAAUAGUCUUGAGAGAAUAAAUGUUGAAGAUCGAAGUUGGAAUUUGACCUGUAAAGCCUUUAAUUGCUUGAAUACUAAGCAUUUCCAAAUUAAAAAGAUUACCGAUUUCUUCAGGAAUUUGACCUGCUGACAUAGUCGAAACAUCAAGGUGUUAAAUUACCUAUUUUGUUAGUGUAAAUCAAAGAGGAUUUUUAUUUUUCUCGUUAUGAAAUAAUAUGGAUAUGUUAGAUUCUAAUCAUAUUUAAGUAUAUAUUAGUUCUUGAAAGAAAGAGUUCUUAGUAUUUAUAUUGCAAAUAUUUUUUUUAAAAUUUAAAAAAAGGGGGGGGGCAAAUGUGUUUAAACUAAAGAGAUCAAGGAAAAGGCAUACCAUCUAGGUUAUUUAACCCCAAGUAUACUUGUUUAAGUUGUGUCAAAUUCCCAAUGCUUUUUGGAAUGAUCCCACUAAAUUGAUUAAUAGACAAUUCCAAAAUUUGAAGGUUGCAGCAUUUGUCUAUACUUGAUGGAAUAGAACUUGAUAAUUCAUUUCUACUCAAGUAAAGCUCUUUAAGCUUGGGAAGAUGGACACACAGAUCAUCGGGUAAGCCACCAGAAAGACUAUUAUCACGAAAAUGAAUCCUUUUCAAAGAAGAAAUGUUAAAGAUGGAAGAUGGAACCAGGCCAGAUAAUUGAUUGAAUCCCAAGUUCAAGAUCUCUAGAUUGGAUAAGUUGACAAGUGUUUGAGGGAUUGUGCCUGUGAAGUUAUUAUUUCUCAUUUCCAACCUUUGAACUCUGUGCAAGUUCCCAAGCCAUGAUGGAAUUUCCCCAUUAAGACGGUUGUAGCUUAAUCGAAUGAUCCUCAAACGAUGCAAUUGGCCCAAUUCUUUAGGCAGAUGGCCAUAGAAAUUGUUGUUGCUCAGGUCGAGAGAAAAUAGAAAUGAAAGAUUUCCAAGGUGUGGAGGGAUAGUACCCCUAAGAUUCAUGUUUGUAAGAUUCAAAGCUACAACUCUUUCAUGGAUGAUGUCACAAGAAACACCAGCCCACUUACAAACAGAGGUAGAGUUCGUCCAAUUGUUUGCCAACACAUUUUGAGGAUCGACAAUGCGAUCUUUAAACUCAAAGAGUGCAAACUGAUAGGAGUUGAGAUUCCGGACUGUCAUAGCCAAGGAAACAAUGGAACAUUGUAAGAAUAAAAGUGAAAGAAGAUGAAAGCAAGUGUUGUAGUUCAUGAUGGCAAGACGAAAUAAGCCAGGAAAAGGGAAGUUGAAUUGAUGAAGAAAUACCCAGCCAACAUGCUUAAAUAGGCUUCAACCCUUGCACACUUCUCAUACAUAAAGUUCACUGCCAUUACAACAAGAAAACUCGUAUCUCCAUUCAUACCUAUCCAUACUUUAUUUGACUAACUUUUCCCUAACAGGUGUUCAGUAAGGAGACAAAUCACUUUGGAGCUAUUCACCGACUUCUCCAACCUUGGUUUCAAACUCCGUCCAACCUUGGUUUCAAACUCCUAGCCCAUCAAUUCACUUUAAUUGAAACGAUAUACACGAGUCUUUCGGCUUAUAUUUUUAACUUACUAAUUCUCUUUUUAAUUUAUUUUUUGUUACUUGUCAUAAUAUUUUUUGAGAAAUCCAAUAUUCCAGUCUGAAAUUUCUUCAUUGCCACGUCUAUCUCCUCGGUAAGUUCGUGGCUAGGCGGCCCACUUUGGGGGCAGGAUUGUAAUUUUAGUUCUAUCCGACUCAUUUUACUAUUUAGAAAUAUAAAAGUAAUAUUUAUUAAUUUUUAUAUUUUUAUAAAUUUAAAUUUAAUUUUAAUUUUUAAACAAUAAAACGAGUCAUUUUUAUUUGCCUAGGCCAAAUUGAAUCAGGAGUGAAAAUUUUUUUAAUCAUAAUUUACUAUUAUUUUAAUUAAUUAAAUUUUAAUUUACUAUAACUAGUAGUUGCAAAAAAAAUGACAUUCCUUUAGAAAAAUGAGAACUUAUGAAGCAUUCAAUAAGAGUUGUUGGAAUACAUGGUAACGAAACCAUAAUUCGAUAUAAAACUAUAUAAAUAAUGUAAGAUUUGUGAUACCUAAAUUGUUAUGUUUUCUAUAAAUAUAUGGAGAUUUUUUAUUAGGAAAUAAUUUUAUAUAUCAACAUUUGUUAUUUUCUUUUGAUAGAAAUUUAAUUAUGUUAUCUGUAGAAAAAAAUAUUUAUAGAAAUAUCAUUAGUAGAAAAUCAUAAAUUUGUGUGUGGCAAAAAAUUUUCACCACCAAGAAAGGGACAAAUUAAACAACUUGAAAGUCAUUGGUUGUUUAAAAUAUUAGAUAAUAAUUUUAGUGAAGAAUCAUUAAAAUUAUGACAAAAUAACCCUAGAUAUUGUAGUAUUAAAUUAGAAAAUCUCAAUAAUAUUAUUAGAGUAAAACCUAUGAUGUAUCUAAACAAGAUAUAGAAGAAUUUGAUAUACAAAUUAAGGGUAGAAAUCAUACGGAAAUAAUAAAAAACAAGAAAAAGCUAGUAUGGUCAUUAAUUAUAAAAGAUUAAAUCAAAAUAUUAUUUUUUGUAGUUACUUGAAUUAAUCAGGAUAAACAAACAAAAUAUUUUAGUAAAUUUGACUGUAAAUCAGGAUUCUAGUAAAUCAUGCUAACAGAAAAAUCUAAACCUUUAACAGCUUUUAGUGCACCCAAUGGACAUUACCAAUGAAAAGUGAUGUCAUUUCAAUUAUGUGAUGCACCACAAAUCUUCCAAAGACAAAUAGAUUUUAUAUUUAAUAAAUAUAAAAAAAUACUAUGUAGUUUACAUAGAUGAUAUUUUGAUAUUUUCAGAUACACUAGAAUUACAUAAGAAACAUUUAAAUAUUAUUUCUUAAGAAUUCAUAAAAUAUAGAAUCAUAUUAAACCCUAAAAAUAUAGAGUUAGAAAAAACAGAGAGAAUUUUUACAAUAGUGGAAAUAAAAAAUUGUCCUCAAUUUUAUUACAGAAAUUUCUUUGCCGACAAUAAGAAAAGAGCAUAUUCACAUUUUCGUCGCAAUUUCAACUAACACCCAAUCUCUUUCCCACUUUCCUUUUUCGGCCAAUUUCAAACGUAGCUGUUUUUCGAUUUUUCCUCUUGAUUUCAUUAAUAAAAUGAUCAAUCUAUUUGUUUUUUAAAUAUAUGAUUUUAUUAAUAUUUUUUAAUUAUAAUAUAAGAGUUGUUGUUUAUUUAUAGUUUUAUUACAUUAUUUAAUCUCUUUUUUAUAUCAAGUUUUUUAAAUUAUAAUAUAAGAUUUAUUUUAUCAAAUUGUGGCUUAUCAAAUGUUCAUCUAUUUUAAUAAUAACUUGAGUUCGAAUCAUUAUCAUACCAGAAAGAGUUCCCUUUAUUCUUUAUCGUAAAUUUUAUAAGAAAUUAUAUUUUAUUACAAUACUAUAUGUGUUAGAAUAAUAUUUUAUUGUGGAUGCCCAUAAUUCUCGAAGUUGUAACCUCGAAUGUAGUAACCUCAAUGAAAUUAUGAGGCUUUUAUAUUGUAAUCAAGCCUCUAUCUAUUCUUUGUAUUCUUUGUAGAAAAUAUGAAGUUGAUUUUACUUUAUUAAAAAAUUUAAAAUAAAUUAUCUUGUUUUUUUUAAAUGAGUUAACCAAAUUAGCAUAUUUAUUUUGAUCUAAAAUUAUCCAAAAUAAUAUAAAAUAUUAUAUUAAUAAAAUUAAAACUAUGAAAUAAUUUUUUUUAAAGAUUAUUAUUUACUUUUAUCAAACAAUACAAUUAUAUUCAGUACUUAUAUUUACUAGUUUACCAAACAGUUUUCCAAUAUGAAUUCAACACUUAUCAAAUUCAGUAUUAAAAAUUCAGUGCUUAAUUUUUUAGCACUUAACUUUUCAAUUCAUCAAGCACGUCUAAUUCAAUUUAUACAAUUCCCUAUUUGUAUCUCUAUGAAUUUAUAAAAUCCUUCUCGCAUUUAGUUGUUGGGAUCUUUAUAUGAAGAUAGAUGCUUUUAUUUUUUAUUGGUUCACUUUUAAUUGUAUUGAUUUAUUUAAUUUUAAUUUUGAUUAAUAUAUAUGAUUAUUGUGGAAUGGGAGUAAAAGUAUUUACUUCUCAUAAACUUUGAAAUAUUCACCCUGUCUACAUAUUAAUUAUUGUAAAAUUUGAAUUGAAAUUAUGCCAUAAAAGGUGGAGGUUAGAAAACCUCUUAUUGAGACCUUAUAAUAUUUUGUAAUUUUUUGUGUUAUGGUAUAUAAAAAAAUAUCUAACCAUAGUGAUUGAUUAGUAAUAUAAAUUUGUUAUUUGUUAUGUUUAAUAUAUAUUUUAUUUAUACUUAUUCAUUUUAUUUUUAUAUGAGUAAAUGAAGUGUUUGAAGAUUCGAAAUUUUUAUCAUCCAUGUUGAAAAUAACUGCAAAAGUGUAUAUUAUUUAAAAUAAAUUACGCAUUCAUUAAUGUUAUGUGAUAAAAUCAUUACAUUUUCUGAAGAACUAAUAUUGCAUCAAACUGUAAAAAGCUCUUGAAGAGCUAAUAUUUAUCUCCCUGUGAUGCAAAAUCUUGUAAAACAUGAUAUUAUUUUUCAAAUCAAGAAGAUUUAUGUUGAAGGAAAUAUUUAUGUGUUUUACAUUAAAACCAUGGAUAGAAAUGACAUGAGACACUCAUGUAUUUGCAUUAUAAAUAUUCCUUGAAGGAAUACACUUCACUUGUAUGAUUGACAUAUGAGAUAAUAGCAAGAAGUUUAUAGUGUUGGUAUGGCCGGCUAGACCAUCUCAAGUCAAUAAUGAUGCAAAAUAAUUUGAAGAGAAUUUAUAUGAUUUUAUUGAAGAAUGAGAAGUUAUUUUCAUUUUGAUAAUUGUCAUCAACAAUAGUUCUUUGGAAAAAAAAAUAUUGAACUAACAUCAACUAAAGUUAGAGGUUGGUUCAUGGUUGCAUUUUUUGAUGAUAUCCAAAUAAUAUAUGAGCUCAUGUAUCACAUGUAUGCAACCCAAAGUUUACAGUAUUAUUUCUUGAAAUAAUUUGAUUCUACACAAUCUCUAUAGCAUGCAAUUUGUGCUAACAACACUGGUGCAUUAUAUCCUAAGCUUGAUUUUCGUAGUUUUAGCUGAGAUAAUAUUAAGUUGUCUAUGCCUAUAUAUAUUAUACUUAAUGGUUAGCAAAAUUAUGCCUCCAUUUAAUUGCUUAACCAUUAAUAUAAGAAUAGCUUUAAAAUAAGCAUGUAAUUUUAUUUGCAUCGAGCCAACAUGUAAGAAAUAUUUGUCCCAUGAGAAUUAGCUUUUAUUUAUAAGCCAAUAGGUUUCAUUUAUGACUAUUUGGAUGUAAAAUAUCUAUUUUAUAUUCCACCAUAAUGCACUAAGAUGGACCAUCAAGUAUGAAGUUGAGAAAAAUUAGAAUUUUUAUUUGAUGGUAAAAGUUGCAAAGAGAUAUAUAUUUAUAAUUUUGAAAAAAAUAGUCAUGUUGCAAAUUUUCUCAGUAUUAGAGGGAGACAAGUUGGACAAAUACGUAUAAUUAUGUCAUCACUUUUUGUGACCCCUCACUAAUCUUAUGUGCACAAAGUUUGAAGGAAAAAAAUAAUUUGCUAGACAUGUUUAGUGAUGACAUUUAGAGAUUGUAUAUAUUGGAUGAUACAUAUACCAGCUAAAAUGUUCCAAAUAAUUAUGCGUCCUAGAAGGACAAAGUGAUAAAAAUAAUUUUUGGGCACGCUAGAAGGAUGAAAAACUAGUUGGUUCUAUAAAUAAAAAAAUUCUUGACAGAAAAGAGUAAGAAAUGAAUAUGGCCACACGUUAAAGGAGACGAGUACUCAUGAAGAGACCCAAGGUAUAACUUUUAAUAAAACCCCAAAAGAGGUUCAAUACAUGAAAUUAUGAAUAUAAUAAGUGUAAUAACCAAAUUUUUCCCGGGCCCAAUGCCAAACAAAUAAAACCCAAACCAAAUAAAUAAAAUAAGAGUCCAAAUUAUAGUCCAUUAGGGCCCAAUUCAGACCAGCCCACUAUUCAAUCAGACCAGCCGAACAACAAAAAAAAAACCUAGUAGCCCACAGCCCAACUAAGCCUAAAAAAUUUUCAGCAAAAGAAAAAACCCUAGCUGCCAUGCUAGCCGCCGCUCCUGCCCUAGCCUCUGCCCACUAUCGUACGCCACCUCUGCCAUCACCAUUAGCCUCUGACACCUGCAAAACAGCAAACAACAUGCAACAACAGAGAAGAAGACGACAAGCAAAAAACAAAUCACUAAAGGACAAAAAUAAUGAUAACAAAUAGCCUUAGUUUGGCUAUAAAAGCACAAAAAUGAAAACUUUGUACUUCUUUGGCAAGAUUAAUACAAAAAAGAAAAGAUUUGAACUUUUUAGGGUGAUAUUUCAUUUUUUUUUACGCUUUAGAUCUAUUUUUUUAUUUCAUCUUCAUCUACGAAAAUAAUAGAAAAAAGACUUUGAUUUCAAGGUGAUAUUUUGUUGUUUUUUAGAUCUAGUGUUUUUUUAUUUAUUUUUAUCUACAAAAAUAAAAAAAAAGGAAAAGAGAAACGUACCUAAUUCACCCCAUGGCUCCGUCGACGGAAGUCCCAUCGCCAUCGUCGGAAUCGGGCUUAAAAGGGGAAGGUUUUUAUUUUUCUUUACUUUUUUUUUGGAUUUUUCGUCUCAAGAAAUGGACUAAGGGAGGGGAAAUGGCCAAAAUGGUCUUUUUCCGAUGAACUCUGGCAACCACAUGUGGCAGUUAACAGUGCCGGUGCUCGGUGGCUGCGGUGGAGCCAUGGUGGUGUCCCAUGGCCGGAUCUAGAGAGGAAGCCUUUGAGAGGGAGAGAGUUUCUAACAUUUUUUUUAUUUUCUAAGGCAGAAAUGAAUUUUUGAAAAAAAAAAGUUGGGUUUUAUAAGUGCGUGAAAUGGCGCCAUUUUGCGCAAGUGCACAUCGACGUCGAAACGACAUCGUUUACCCCUUUACCCGCUCGCCCGAGUCUGGCUCGAUGAAGGUCCGCAUAUUUUCAUGCCUGAUGGGUUAUUUCCCUGCCCGAUCCUUCCGCUUUUGGGCUUCUUCUCAAUCUGGUCCUGAUCCUACUUUUUCCCGCCUUUUAAAUUGUACCAUUUAAUUUCAUUUCAUUUUCAACUCGGUCCCUCGGCUGACCAAAGGAAAUGAUGCGCAUAAAGUUAAGGGAUAUUUUCCCUUUCAAUCCCCAAUAUUUUUAGAGCGAUGCAUUUUAAUCCCUAACCUUUCAUUCCAAUCUUUUACACAUAUUAUUUCAUUUUAUUCGUUUAUUUAUUGACUUAUCAUUUUUACCCUCUUUUUAUACUUAAAAAUAUAUAUUAUUUACACUAUUACUUGCAUUUUUUUACUAUUAAAUUAUUAUUUUUAAUGUAUUAUAUUCCCAUUAUUUUACCAUUUUAUUUAUUUUGAUACUUUCAUGUCACAUUUAUUUAUUUUAAUAUUGCCAUUAUUUAUUUUAUUUUAUUCUUAUGUUUUUUAGUAUUUUAUUAUUUCUUUUAUUGUUCACGGUUUUUUUUUCAUGUUAUACAUUUUUAUCUUUCUAAUCAUGCAUUUUUCCUUUUUUUAUUUUGUUUUAGGUUACGUUAUUUAUUAUUAUUAUUAUGAUAAUAUUAUUAUAAUUAUAUUACCAUUAUUAUAGAAUUCCUUUAUUUGUAUAUUCCAUUAUAACUAUUAUUAUUAUUAGUAGUCUUUAACUCACUUCUAUUUUUAUUAUUAUUUUUUAGAAUAGUAGUCAACAUGCUUAUCCUUAUUGUUAUUUGGUGUUGUUCUUAUGAUUUUAUCAUCAUUAUUGUUGUAUUUCAUUUUUUGUUCACUCUUUAAAUAUUUUGUUCAUAUAGUUAUUUUACACUAUUGCAAUAUUGUUGCAUUACGCAUUAUGUUUCUUAUAUAAUAAUUAUUUUGCUUUCACGCGAUGUUCGAAUCAAUUAAACAUGAAUCUUCUCAAUUAUUACAUUAAUUGUUACUUAAGUUCAAAAAGAAAAUUUUCAAAAUAAGGCAAUAUUUUGCGUUUUGGAAAUUCGAGAAAUCAUACCCUAACUUACGAGGUUUCGAUUUUCUCGUUAAACUUAAAUAGCAAAAUAUUCUUUUAAAUUUCAAAAUGCAUGCAAUUUCAAUAAAAAUCAAAGGCAAGCUUAUUCUCUAAGGUUCCAAAUAUCGCGUCCUAACUUACGGGAUGUGACAUUUCGUUACCUCGAGACGAGUAGGUCUUCAACACUCUUUUCGAUUUAUUCGAGCGUUUUUAAUAACAUUAAUAAAAAGGGAUCGUAUUUUAAAUUUCUAUUCAAGUUUUCAACCUUGGACAUUAAGACAUUACUUAAUCAACUAGGUACCACCUUUGGGUGUAUUGAGGGUGUGUUUUCUAGAUUUUGUAGACCAAAUAUUAUCGUUUUUAGUAAAUUUAAAUUUUUAUUAAAAUGAUUAAAUUACAAGUGUUGACACCAUUUUUUCGAUGAAAAACGGGGUCGACUUGGGUUUUAAAAAAAAUGAAAAACGGGAGUCGCCACCAAUCCUUUUUGAUAAGGUGUGAUUGGGUCACCUUGAAAAAUGGUUGUUUUUAAUAAAUGAUUUGAUUUUAUUAAAACAACGGUUUUGGUCCAUGAAAUUUAGAAAACGGGUUCGGGAGUCGAUUACGUACGAGGAAGGAUUAGCACCCUCGUAACGCCCAAAAAUUGGUACCUAGUUGGUUAGCUAAUGUCUUGAUGUCGAAAAUUGAGAACUUGGAAAAAAUUAAAAAUACGAUCCUUGUAUUAAAAUGAAAAUUUUAGGAAAAGGGGGGGGCAUACUUCACGCUAAUCGAGAAAGAGAAUCAUAUCCAGUAAGUUAGGACACAAUGUCUCGAAUUCCCGAUACGCGAAUGAAUGCCAAAAUUUUACUUAUUUAAAAGACAUUUUAGCCGUCUCGAAUUUAAAAAUGAAAUCACGACCAGUAAGUUAGGACGUGAUUUUUUAAAACUUGAGUUUGAAAAGAUUCGUGCAUCUAGAUUUAUCGUGAAAAUCAAUACCCAGUAAGUUAGGGUACGAUUUUCUUGAAUUUAAACACGAAAUGCCAUUUUUUAAAACAAAUUUUGUUAUAUCGAGUGAAAUAAAAACACAAAGUCGUAGUAAAAAAAUGUGUAAGCAAAUUACAUUGUUAUGCAUGGCAAAAUCAUAAUGAAUACAAAAGUAUAAAAAUGAUACGAGCAAUAAAAACAAUAUAAAAUAAAUAAAAGUCAAACCUACAAUAAUAUUAAAUAACAAUGUAUAUAAACAAAUAAAAUUAAAACAUUCAUUCAAAAUAAUAAUGAAAAUGAAAUAAAUAAAUAGUAAAUACAAAAUAAAACAAUAGUAAUGAAUAAAAAUAAUAUAAUAUAUAUAUGUAUGUUAGAAUUAUAAAGUAUAAAAAUAUACGUAUGUGUAUAUAAGAAUAUGUAAGCAUGUAUAUAUACAUAGAUUAUAAAAUAUAGAUAUUUAUAUAAAAAUGAGUAUUUGUAUUAAAUAAGUUGAAAAAAUAUAUAUAUAUAUACCUACAUAUAUAUAAAAAAUUAUAUAAUAAUAACAAUAUAAUAAAACACAUAUAUCUAAAAUUUACAUAAGUAAAUAUAAAUAAAAACAUACUAAUAACAAUAAUAUUAAUAGUAAAAUGAUAAUACAUAAAAAUGAUGAAGAAAAUAAUAAAAAUGCUUAAAAGGGGACUAAAUCGAAGUAAGAACCAAAAAAAAAGGGGCAAAAUCGAAAUAAAGACAAGAGGGACUAAAUUGUAACGCGCGCUGAAAGAGGGGGACCAACAAGGUAAACAAACCAAAGCCUCAAAACGUUGCUCUGUAAAGGACUGAAAUGAGACAAAAAUAAAAUUUUGUGGCCAAAUUGCAAAUAUGCGAAAAACUUCCAUGAAAUCGCUACAAAAUCAAAGGGACUAAUUGCGCAAAUAGACCCUUAAACAAAAACGCGCGGAUCCUUGGGUGCGGGUCGGGUCGACGUGCGGAUCCCCUCACCAAAACGGCGUCGUUUUGUGUUUAAUAUAAAUAUAAAAAAAAGGGCUAAAAAAAACAGUUUCAUCAUUUUUGUUGAAAAACAAAGAGAAACCUCUCUCUUUUUUCCCUUUCUCAGGCUCAGAUUCCGGAGAUGGCCCGGCCUAGGCUUCUGGCGAAUCUCCGCCGUAGAGCCACCGUGUGUGGCGGCCGGAGGUCCAAAAUCGGACCUUUUCGGUCCCUUUUUGAAACUGAGAAUCCCUAGGGUACGGAUCUGGGACCAAACCCCCGAAAAAAAGAAUCGGAGACCUGAAGAACGAGGGGAAACCGCUCGUCUUCUCUCCUCCGGCGCGGCGCAGGUAAGGUUUCUUUUUCCUUUAUUUAUAUUACGUAAAAAAAACAUACAAAAAGAAAAAAAAAGAAAAUAGAGUUUAAAAAAAAUCUAAAAUAGAAAUGAGAGAAAAUCACCUCUCAAGUUUUCUUGUUUUUUAUUUCUUUUUGCUAAUAUCUGUUUCUUCUUUUUACAAAAGUUGAUGGAAGAAGAAAAAAUUACAUUUUGUUGGCUUUUUAUAGCCGACUUCUACUACUGCCUGUGUUAUUUGCUCUCUGUUUCUUUGUUUUGUUUCUUCUUUGCAGGUGACGGCGCAAGUGGUGGUGGUGACGUGACCGUGGCAGUGGCGGCGUGACGUUGGCGGCGGCGGCAGGCCAAAGGUCAAUAGGUGUGGAGCCUAGGGUUUUAGUUUUUGAAACCCUAGGCAGAUUUUUUUAGGGGAAUUGGGCCUUAGCUAUUGGGUUGUUCGGGUUUGGGCCUCGGGUUAGGCUAGUUGGGCUUUGAGGUUGGGUUGUUUUGUAAUGUGCUUUGGUGUUUGGGCUGGUAGCUGGUGGGUAAGGUUUAUUGUUUUGGGUUCUUGGGCCUGGUUCUGUUUGGUUAGGGUAAUGGGCCAUUUGGGUCUGGGCAUAAAAUUGGGCUAUACAACAAGGUGACCCGAUUACACCUCAUCAAAAAGGAUUGGUGGCGACUCCCAUUUUCAUUUUCAUUUCUUUUUAAAUCAAAGUCAACCCGUUUUUAAAAAAAAUGGUUUCGACAAUAAGAUAUAUUGAUUAGUUAUGUCAUAACUAAAGAUGAUGGAGUUGACAAAAGGAAAUUGUAGUUAACAACGAAUAAUCUACGUAGAACAUUUCAAUAUUAUGGAAAAAUGAGUAUUUACCAACCUUCUUUUAGUCAAAUUAUGCAAGCCUAAAAUUUUUAGCUUAAUUUGAGUUUGUUGACUAUGUCUAAUUCAAGUUUUAUUAUUAAGGACUAAAUUGUAACUUAAAAAAAUUAGAAUACCAAUUUAAAGAGACAAAAAUUCAAAACCCCAAAACCCACAUGGGCAUGUGGGUAAGUGACACAGGCGUGUGGAGACUGGAGCUAUCACACACGGGCGAGUGGGACAGAAAAAUAUGAAAUAAAUUAAUCCACUUAAAUUUCAAACAACCAUGCUAUACUACCAAACCAAAUAAUGCUAGAAGCUUUGAAUAGGGGUGAAUCGAAAAAAAAAAUAAAAGAAUUAGAAUUAAAUUAUAAAAUUUUCAGAAGUUAUCAUGUAUUAAUUUAUUAUUUUUUAAAGGGUCUUAAUAGAAUUUUUUUUUUCCAUUUUGGUUUGGCCAAUACCCCUGUCUACCUCUUUCAAUUUGCUUCAACCCUAAACCUAAUAUUCAAUUUGUUGUGGAAGUUUGACGCAUAAAAAUUUCUUUUUUAGAGGUUUAAAUUAUAAAUUUUUGAAAGUUUAAAAUAAAUUUUCAUUUUUAUUAACAAAAUAUAAAAGAAAAAAAACAUGUGUAGACAAACCAAGAAACCUUUGGGAUCAUACGGGUGAUUUUGAUGAUGUUAAUGGUUAUUUUGAUGGAGAGGGUGAAAAAGAAACAAAUGAUUCAUAUAUAUAAUAUAAUUAUGAAAUUCAAGCCAUAUAUUGUAUGUUUCAUCCAUAAAAAUUUCAUGGGAGGUCCGAAGGUAAUUAAAUGACUUGUAGGCUUGCUGAAUUUCUUUGAAAGGCCCAAUGGCAAUUUAACAUUCACAAAAUAAUCUCUAAAUACUGUAAAGACAAAAUCAAAUCCACAGCAGCAUUAGAGUUGAUUAAGCUAAGCAUUGGCAAAUAUUACUUUGAUUUUGCAUGCAAUAUUAGCAAAACCCCCUCUUACAUUAGAUAAACAACAUACUCCAUGAAACAUUGAUAGCCCAAAUACAAAUUUCAUCGACAAAAAAGUCUCUUUGUUUUGUAGAACAUGAUAGUAAAAAUGUGGAGUUUCGUUCUUCUUAUUGGCCUCCUUUAGUUUUCCUUGAUCAACAACCACUAGCCAAAAACACAAUUAGAUUAGAUUAUGAAUGAUACGUUCAACUAUGACAUUAUUAAAUAUAAAACACUCUAAAUAACUCUAAAUAAAUGGAAAGCAACAAAUUACCUAACGAGGCAAGCUAGCUCAAUUAAGACCAUUGUGUUAUACUUGUCUCUGAAUUGAAAAAUUUAGAAGGAAAUAAAGAGAAAGACUUAGAAAAUAUUUGAAAACAGAUAAAACUUAUAUGUCAUUUAAAAUAAAAAUUUUGUAUUUAAGCCGUUUAAAAUUUUUAAGAUUUUUGAAAUUUUAAAACGAUAAAGGUAAAAUUGUACUUUGGCACACCAAAAAUGAUAAAACUUUGAUUUAAUCCUUUAGAAAUUAUAAAAAUAUAGGCUAUUAAAAUGGUGAAAUUACCUUUUUACUAUAGUAAAAAUUACAAUUUAAUUUCACUUUAAGAUUUUCUGACUUCGCCCCUAAUAAAAUCUUUGGCAAAAGAUUAAAAUAAAAUUAUACCGUAAAUGGAAAAAGAAACAAAGAAAAUCCAAUCUAACAAAGAAAAUAACUUAUUUCCAAAAGCUACCAUAAACCGUAAUUCAUGGGAAGAGAGCCUAGUACGUGAGAGCAAAAGUAAAAACAAAUAGUUUAUAUGAUUAAAAUUCCAGAAUAGGUUAAAAAUGUUGAAUUAAAGAUAAAAUUAAGCGUGAAUUAAUAACCACAAGUGUACUCUUUACUCACCAUCUCUGUUAAAAAUGUUGGAUGUUGUUUAGCAACCUUUGUUUGAUUUUCUUCAGCUCAACCACAACAUCUUUCAUUUCUUUUCUUUCUUCUGGUAACUCAGCUGAACAAUUCAAAGCCAACUCCAUGAUAGAUGAAAUACAAUUUGCUUUAACAACAAUGUUCUCAUCCUCUCUUCUUAGUAAAUCAACAUCUGCAAUUUCUAUCGCUCCUUUAGGCAAUGAACUUUCCAUCCAAUGCCUUAUAGUCUCUUCUUCAACAAAAACAUUAUCAGUUGGCUUUCUCUUUGUGAAAGUUUCUAUAAGGACGAUCUCAUAACUAUAAACGUCAGAUUUUAUAGAAACAAGUCCUGCAGAUCCAAAUUCUGCAUUUCAAGUAUAAUUAGAACAUCAUCAGUCCUCAAUUAUUUGAUAAAUCUAUGUAUAUCCACAUACACGAGAAACAAAAAUAUAAAACGCAAAUUAGGAAAAUAAUCGUACAAAGAUAAAAAAAGAAUUCACCUGGUGCCAUAUACCCGAUUGUUGCAAGAGUCAUGGUUUGCUUCAUUACUUCACCUUCUCCCAACAAUUUGGCAACGCCAAAAUCUCCAACAUGUGCAACCAUGUCUUCAUCUAGUAAAAUAUUGCUUGGUUUUAUGUCACAAUGAAUUAUAGGGGUUGGAUGUCCAUUGUGGAGGUGUUCUAUAGCCACCGCAACAUCUAUCAUUAUGUCGACCCUUUGUAUGAUAUCAAGGAAACAAUUUUUAGAAUGUAACCAUUUCUCAAGGUUUCCAUUAGACAUGUAAUCAAGCACCAAGGCUUUGAAGUCAACACUUGAGCAGCAAGUAAUGACCUUCACAAUAUUACGAUGAACUAUAUUAAUCAUAGCAUCACAUUCAAUGUCAAAACUCCUAAAUGCUCCCUCUGUUUGCAAAUUGAAAACUUUUAUUGCAACUUCCAUUCCAUCUGAAAGCCUCCCUUUAUAUACAUAUCCAAAACUCCCUGAACCAAGCAUAUUGCUUUCCUCAAAUCCAUUAGUUGCUCGUGAAAGUUCAGCAUAUGAAAUUCUUCUCGGUGUCUUCAAAGACAACAAAUCAUCUUUAAUUGGUAGAGCUGUAUUAGCUAAUGUUUCAAAAUUUAAUGUUGGUUCAUUAGAACCGUAUAAACCGAGACCCAAAAACUCCUUCUUUGGCAUCUUCUAUACAUAAUAGUUAAGACUAUUAGUACUACGACAAUACCAAUUGUUGGUAAACCAUACCUAAAAGCAUGCAAUAUAAUCGUUUGGGAGUUUUUGUGGAUGUCGUUUUUACAAGGUGGGACUAGCAAUCUAGGUGGACCACAAAGUGCAUAAUUCUUCAUGAAUGAUGUGCUAGAAAAGUUUGAAAAACAUCCUUCACUGGGAAUUUCCCCUUCAAGUCUAUUGAAAGACACAUUAAAAUACUUUAGAUAUAAAAGCUUUUCCAAAGAUUUGGGAAUGACUCCAGAGAGAUUGUUAUUGCAUAAAUCCAAGAAUUCCAAACUAAUCAACCCAUCAAAUGAUUCAGGGAUAUGACCAUGUAGUAUAUUAUUUGAUAAAUCUAAUGAAACCAAAGUUAUAAGACCCCCAAAUGUGGAUAAGAUAUCGCCCGUGAGAAGAUUCCUUGAUAAAUUUAGUUUCAGUAGACUCUUCAAAUUUCCAACAUCAAUAGCAUGUGAAUUGUGAAGAUGGUUUGAUGAUAAGUCUAUUUCUAAGAUAUCUUUAAGAUUCCACAAAGUUGAGGGUAUUGUAGAACUCAAUUUGUUGGAAUCUAAGUAAAGAUAUCCCAAAGAAGUAAUAUUACCCAAACAAGAGGGUAUGGAUCCAUGCAGCUUAUUCAACCCUAAAUACAUCUUGUAUAGUCUCUCCAAAUCACAAAGGCUUUCUGAGAUGGGCCCUCCUAAUUUAUUAGAGGAAAGAUAUAGACCUUGGAGAUUUCUCAUUCCUCCUAUUGAUGCUGGAAUCAAUCCACUUAAUUUAUUAUAGUCAAGUUGUAAAAGCAAUAGGUUGGUUAAGUUACCUAUUUCCAUAGGAAUAAUGCCUUGAAGCUCACACUCAUCGGCAUAAAAGUAUUGAAGGGAUUUUGAAAGGUUCCCAAUAUAAGUAGGAAGAACGCCACUCAAUGGAUUUCCUGAAACAUCUAUUGUGCUCAAAUUCCUACAAUUCGUCAAAGAAGAAAUAAAGCUCCACUCAUGAUCAGUAGAAGAUCCUGUGAUCAAAUUAUUGUCAAAGAUUUUGAGCACUUCAAGGUGUCUUAAGUUGCCAAGCGUUUUAGGGAUUGGGCCAGAGAAUAAGUUAUGCGCCAAGUCUAGUUCCUUAAGCAUGGAAGCAUUGAAGAUAGAGUUGGGAAUGUUUCCGCUAAGUUUAUUUCUCCACAAUAAAAGAAUCUCAAGCUUUGGAGCAUUGGUGAUUGGUGGUAAAUCACCUGUGAAAUAGCAUCUUUUAGUAUACACAUUCAUUGAAUACCAAAUUCACAAAAUAUAUAAUACAUUAAAAUAAAAACUGUAAAACUUUAAAUCAAUUAAGAAUAAAAUUUUGGCAUGGAAAAAUGUGAUGAAAUCAAUUAGAAAGUUGAGACAUAAUAAGAAGUUUUGAGUAGUAAUUACUCAUGAUUUCCAUAGACAAAACAUAUAAUACACUGAUAAUUUUUUUAAAAAUAUUGUAAAACCUGAAAUAAAAUAAAAAAUAAAAGUUUGGCAUGAGAAUGUGGCAUCUAAUCAUUCUUAAAAAUAAGACUAACAUUGAAUAAUAAUUAGUUAUGAUUUGAGAAACAAAAAUGUUAAAGAUGUAAACUGGUAUGAUUUUUAUCUAUUGGGUUAAUUAUUUAUUUUUAUUAAAUUAUAGUGUAAAAUUUAAAUAUUAUUAUUUGCUCAAAAUUUUUGUAUUUUUCGUAUAUUUGAAAUUUAAUCUUUAUAUUUUUUAUUUUCUGUGAUUUAGUCUCUCUACUUUUUGAAUUGAAAAUUUUAAGUUUAUUUAUUAACACUGUUAAAAAGUUUUUGUGUUAGUAUGGCAUUUUGAAAAAUAAAAUAAAAUUGAUAUCUAUGUUUUUAAUUAUUCCAAAUAUUGUUUUACUAUUUCAAGAUAAACUUUUUGUGUCUAUACCAAUAUCUUAAGAACUAUUGUUGCAUGUUUAAUUAUUCUAAAGAUUUGUUGAUUGAGUCUUGGUUGAAGUGCAUUAUUCUCCUAUUUAUGAAUUGGGGAGUUGAUAAAGUACUUUAUUUUAAUAUAUUUUAAAAUAUUAAAAAUUUAUUAAAAUAUUUUUUAUAAAACUUGAUUGUACCACAAUAUACAAUUUUAAUAUCAAAUUUUUAAUUGUUUUUUAAAAAUAUUAGCGAAUAUAUACUUUAUUUCAAGUUACACAAUUUUUACUAGCUUUUAACUUUUUUUAAAAUUUUUAUCGUCUUUUAUAAUUUCUAAUAAUUUUUUAUAAUUUUUUACAAUAUUUACAAUUUCUAACAAUUUUUAAUAAUUUUAUUAUUUAUUUCAAAUUUAAAAAUUAACAAAUUUUUAUUUUUUUAAAACAAUUAUAUAUUUAUAAUGUAGUUAUUUUUUUAUAAUUUUUUUUUGAAAUUUAAAGAUUUUUUUGGUUUUUUUUUCUAGAUGAUGAUGCCAUCAUGAUGUCAUCAUAUGCCACAUGGCAAUUUAUAAUUAGUUGAUUAUCUCAAUCUUUUUUUUUAACGUUGAAUGGACUAAAACAAGAACACCUGAUAAUGUUAGAGACUACACUAGGAAUGUUUGAUAAUAUUAGGUACUAAAGUGGGCAAAAAAAUUAAGAACUAUAUUAAAAAUAUAUCUAUAAUAUAUAUAAAUGCAUGGAUUUUGAGAAACUUUUGAAUUGAUAAUAUAUAUAAAUGUUUGAUAAUAUGUUGUUUACUAUAUUAUAGAAGAAACAAAUUCAACACAAUGUUUUUGGAGUUUGGAAAAAAUUAAAGUGAAAAACAUACCUUCUAAUUUGUUGUCAUAUAGACCUAUUACUUCGAGCGUAGUUGAAUUAAAAAUACUUGAUGGAAUCUGACCUGCACACAUAGUCGAAAAUUGAAGUGAAAAGCAUACCUUCUAAGCUGUUAAACUAAAAAUACUUUAAGCAUAUUUUAUUUUCCAUCAAAUUAACUAUUUUGCCUUGAAUGAAAUAAAAUGUUCUUAUUUUUGUUAUCUAUUACAAAUCAAACUCUUUUAUGAAAAAACUAUUUUAAAUUAAAGAAACAAAGAAAAUUCAAUAUCUUCAAAGUUAUUCCACUCCAAAUAUAAUCUUCAGUGAAGAAAUCUUGAAGAUGGAAGAUGGAACCUUACCAGAUAAUUGAUUGAAUCCCAAGUUUAAGAUCUCUAAAUUAGACAUGUUAACAAGUGUUUCAGGGAUUGUGCCUAUAAAGUUAUUAUUUUUCAUUCUCAGCCUUCGAACUCCCUGUAAGUUCCCAAGCCAUGAUGGAAUUUCCCCAUUAAGACGGUUGUAGCUUAAUCGAAGGAUCCUCAAACGAUGCAAUUGGCCCAAUUCUUUAGGGAGAUGGCCAUAGAAAUGGUUUCUACUCAAGUCGAGAGAGAGUAGAAAUGAAAGAUUUCCAAGGUGUGGAGGGAUACUACCCCUAAGAUUCAUGCUUUUAAGAUUCAAAGCUAUAACUCUUUUAUGGAGGAUGCCACAAGAAACACCAAUCCAAUUGCAAACAGAGGUUGAGGCCGUCCAAUUGUUUGCCAAUACAUUUUGAGGACCGGCAAUGCGAUCCUUAAACUCGAGAAGUGCAAACUGAUCAAAGUUGAGAUUCCUGACUGUCAUACCCCAGCAAAGUCCGGAACAUGGUAUGAAUAAAGCUAAAAGAAGCUGAAAGCAAGUGUUGUAGUUCAUGAUAGCAAGACGGAAUAAGCCAAGAAAAUAAAAAAAAAAAGUAGGAAAAGGGAAGUUGAGUUGAUAAAAUAGUUUGGAUGAUGAAGAAAAGCCCAGAGAGCAUGCUUUAAUAUGUUUUGAAAAUAAAUUUCAAAAUAAAAAUUUAAAAAUAAAUUUCAAAAUAAAAAUUUAAAAAGGAAAGCAAAGUUUUGAAGAAAUUUCAAAAUAAAUUUCAAGUCUUCUUCUUUAAAAAAUACGUACAAAGAGCGAAUUUUCAAAAUUUCUCCUAAAUUUUCUUCACAUUACUCCACAUAAUCCAUUAAAAAAACUUAAAAAAUAUAUUUUAUUAAUUACUAUACAUUCUUUUACUUUCAGAAUAAUAAAUUGUUUAAAAUUUGCUAUUAGUCCCUGUAAUUUAAAAGUUAAAAAAAAAUUCAAUCCUCCUACUUUUCUAAUUUAAAAAUUCUAGUUCAAUCAAUUUUAAUUUUAAAAUCUUUGUAUAAAAGGUGUUUUUUUUUGUGACCGAUCACACUUAACCAAUAUUUAAAAAUUAUUAAAAAAUAUUUUUUUUUGAAAUUUAAAGUGAUCUAAAAACAUAUUUUUAAGUACUUUGGACAGUCUAUUGUUGAUUUCCUUAUUAUAUUAAGUGUUUGCAAUCACUCCUAAUAUAUUGUGCUUGAGUUGUGACAAAGUCGAUCAUCAAAUUGCCAUAAUGAUCUAUUGAUGCUGAAAUUAAAGUUUUUGUUAUAUUGAUAGAGCUUGUCCUUCAACGCGUACAACGUGUUUGUUAUUUUUCUCCCUUCAAAUUGUAUGAUCUUAUUCAUUAAAUGAAUUAAUGAAUUUCCCUUUUAAAAAGAUAUAUUUUUAAAAAUUAAAUACUUUAUAAAAUAUUUAAAAAUUUGUAAGCCUUAAAACAAUCAACAAAAUAUUUUUGAAAUUUUAUAAAUAUAUUUUAAAAUUAUAGUAACGCUACAAAAUAUAUAUAUUUACUAAUUAUAUGCACCUUUUUUAUUUUUUUUCCUAACAUAUCAUUAUUUUCAACACUAUCGUAAUCCUGUUUUGAUAAUUCCCUUUCCAUACAUCCUUUUUCUACAUAGAAUUUCAAAAGAAAAUGUGAAUUAAUGUAAACGUGAGAAGACUUAAUUACAUUUAUUAGUUUAUCAAUCAAAACUUAAUUAGAAUCCAUCAAUAUUUCACACAUCAAAAACCCAAACAUAAAAUUCACUUUUAAAUUAUUUGAAGAUACAUUUGUAUUAUAGGAAAUGGAUUAAAUUAGUCUUUUAUUAUUAAAUGUAUUAUUUUAAUCUUUGUAUUAGGUAUGAAUUGUAUCUCCUAGAUUGAAGCCAAAGCUAUUCUUGAAAGACUGAAAUUAAGAUUCAGAUGUGUUGAGAUGGAAAGUGGCAACACAAUGUUGAUUGAAACUAUUUAUAACGGGUUGGCUACAAUAAGUAGUGCUGCCGAAGUAAGACAGAUUCACGAUUGGUGUUCCAAAAAUUGGGAAGUCAAAUUUCGACAUAUUCAACGAAAUGCCAAUAAAGUUGUUGAUUGCAUAGCUAAGGCAAAUGGAGGCGUAAUUGAGCAGCUGGUUAUCUUGGAAGAUCCUCUGCAUUAUGUGAGAUGCUAGCUUGAAGAAGAUAUUAGACAGUCACUAGUGACUGAUGAUAAUUUUCAUUUGGACUGAUGAGCGCUUAAUUUUCUAAGCUUAUGUUCAACAAAAAAAAAUUUAAAUACGUCUAAAUUGUAAUAGAGUUAACAUUUAGUGUUUAAAAAAUAUCUUAAAAAUUAUUUUUUUCCAAUUGCAGUUCAAUUCCACAAAUAUCGACGAUGAACCCGGACAUAAAAAUUACAGAAAAAAAAACACAUCUAUUAUCAAACCAGCAAUCCAUGUCUAAACUUAAAUUAACAAAAUUUGCCACACAACGCCCGGUACACUAUUAUAUAUCUAUACUAGAUUUAUUCUAGAUGCACAUGUUUUAUUAUAUUUAAAAAUUAAAAUGUAUGGUUGACUAAGUUUUAGUUGAGUUAGUAUUGAUAUUAUUGUCAGUGUAGGAAAAUGUGAGUUUAAUCACGCUCAAAUGUGUUUUAUCCUCCAAUUCAAGGGUUAGGAAAAGGUUAUUGAUAAUUAAAUUAUACCAACUUUUAUAAUAUUAAAAAAAAGGAUUUAUAAAUAAUAUAAGGAAAAGAAAAAAAGAGAAACAUAUUCAUAUUGAUGGGCUCUUUCAAUAUUAGACUUUUUUUUCUAUCACAAGUAAAAAUAUCAAAGGUGAUAAUAAUUAAAUUAUAAAAUUUAAAUUGAGAAAAUAGGGGAUAAAAUUUAUAAGUUUUAAAGUAUAAAGAAUGAAUUUAUAACUAACAACAUAUUUUAACCACAUAAUAAAAGUAGUUAUGGAGAGGAUCAUAUAAAAUGCAAAAAUGAAAUAAUAGAAAAGAAAUAAGUGUUGGGUAUAGUGGCAAUGUAUAUUAUACUUCUAAGGGGAGAUCAAGAUUUUAGACAAGGGAAGAAUUUUAAACCUGCUUUUUUCUCUAGAACUCAACGCAAACCUCAAAUUUAUCUUUUUAAAAGAAUUUAAAAAUAUCUAUAUAAAAGGUGAUUUUUUACCGAUCACACUUAACAAAAUUAAAAAAAAAUUGAAAUUUAAAGUGAUCUAAAAACAUAUUUUAAAGUGCUUUUGACCAUCUUGUGCUGAUUUCUUUAGUAAUUUGAUUUGUUCAAUAUAGAUUUUGGUGACUUAAAACAAAAUUAAUAAAAAAAUAUUUUAUCAGAUAUCUUUUUAAUGUUUAAUAAUAAGUUAAUUUAUAAAAUAUACUUUCAUUGGACACAGGGCCUCCAAGGCGGUGAACCACUAAUCAAAUUAAUUUUGAGAUACUUAAAUUUGUUUUCAUCAAUUAAGAAAUUAAAAAAAUUUGUUGAGACCUCAUGAUUAUGUUUUAUAAUUUCAGGCUUAUCAACUAUUUUGAAAAACAACAAAACGUCUUACACCAAAAACUAAAAAAAUAAAAACGUCGACAUUAAAUUUGUUGCCAUGCAAUCAAUUUUAAGAUGGUUUUUGGAGUUAUAUAUCACCUUAGCAUUGACUUACUUUUCUACACUUAGUCUUCUCCAACAAGUUAAAUAUUUCAAUUUUAACAACAUUGACAGGUCUUUGGGGUAGGGUCGAGCAAAACUCAAUAUAGGCUGAGUUGGCUCGGCCAAGUCGAGUCGACUUGUUCAAAUUAUUUAAAUUCGUAAUUUUUAAGGUGCAGUUAGAAUUUUUUGUUUUGAGAUGCUAAGAUUAAAAUAUUUCAGUUGCUAAAACAAAAUAUUUGUAUUUAAAAAGGCAUAAAUUAAAUAAUUAAGUUUUUCGAGUUUCCAUUUAAUCAAAGGUUAAAAGGACUAAAUUGAAGCUUUUUAUUUUUAAGAAAGGCUGAAUGACAAAUUGCCCAAAGCCAUGCCCCUAGCUAUACAACUAACUUCUCUAUGAUUAGUCCUUCGUUUGCUUUGGGUGAAAUCUUCCAACUAGCCUCAUCCUUGGUUUUACUUUCCAACAAUUAGUGUAUCACGAGUUUUGUUUUCUUUAAAAAAUAUUUGUGGAUAUUAGGAGAUAAUGAAAAUUAUUUUACUAUGAAAUUUUAAUAAAACUGGAAAAUAAGUAAUUUAUUUUAAGAGGUCGCAAUUAAACGUUAGAUUUCCAAUUUUUAAAUUUUAAAUUUUUUUUUGACAAUUGCAUAAUAUUUUGAGCGUUGUAGGAAUGCCAUAAUAUAACUUUCCCUACGCAUAAUCGACUCUUGAGCAUGAUGGAUCCUAGACCUUCUCCUCUAUUCUCGUACCACAAAUUGCUUCAAGUGUGGGUUCGAACAAUCACAAAUUAAACGCAAAACCAAAAAUGAUUUAUUACUUUCAAUAGCAAAGUAAUUCUCUCUCAAUAGAAACCAAUAGAAUUGUAAUUCCUAGAAAAUAAAAUUUAUUUUUUGAAAAUAUAUUCUCACUACUUUCUAGCAGAAUAACAAUAUGUGAAACUUAUGUCUUGUGUUAAUAGCUCUACCAGUACUAUCUAUUUAUAGGGAGAGACACGAGAAUCCUGGUUGAAUUAGUAAAACACGAAUAAUAUUUAUUUCAUAGAAAACAAUAUUCCACCCUAAGUAGAUCAAGUUUGUAUGACGCAUGGAUCAAAGCUCAAUCUAGGAGAAAAAAAACAAAGGAAUUUUCUUUGUAAAGAAAAUUUGAGAUUGUACUAUUUUCAAAGUUAAAAAUAAAAUUAUACGCCAAAUUUUCAAGUCAAUUUUCAACUCCAAUUUUGUAUGCACAAAUUUCUAAUACACUUGGUGGGACAUUCUUUGACUUUUAUCUAUUCUCUCAAAAAGUUAAAGUUCAAAGUUACAUUAAACCCAAAGAAGAUAUUCAUUAGUAAACCACCUCACAAGCCUGUUCAAGCUAAUCCUACAACUCGUUCCACUUCAUCAUCAAACACCAAUAUUCUUGCUUAUCCUUAUGGAAUUAAACAGUCUCAUUUUCUGCAUUUUGGGUACACACUUAGUUUUGUUUGAUGCUAAAACAGUCCCCGAGCACUCCAAAACCUAUAAUUGAACAAAUAAUACUAAUUUAAUCUUACAUAACAUGAUCCCAAAUUGAACUUGUAUCGAGGUUUUAACCCAUAAGUGACUAAACCUUACCUUCAACCGAGUGAACAGUAAUUCCCACACAAACUAAGACUCCGAUUGAAGAUUACGAGCCAUUGAAUCCUCCCCUAAUUGGCAUAAACAAAACACUUCAAAAGAAAGUCAACAAAUGGAGACAAAUCACUUAUCUAAAACUUACCGAACGAUCACAGACAAACGUGAAGCGACACGAGGCAGAGUGGGAAAAGAAAAAUCAAGAGGAUGAAGGGUGAAAGAGAGCAGAAAUUCGGUAGCAAUGAAGAGAAAAACGGCAAGAAAGUGGAGGGAUUUUGGGGAAAGUAAAAAAAAAGAUGAAUAGAAUAUUUGAUAACUACCCCAAUCCCUUAUUUCUCUCUAUCAAACUCCCCACUAAAUCCACUACUCAAAUUUUUAGUCCAUCUCAAACUCUCCUGGACGCACGAGCAAAAAAUAAUGCCCAUGCCAAAAUUUAAACAAAAGACCUCCUUCACACCAACACUCCACUUAUCCACCAGACCAAUAGGCUCAUUCUUUUAAUUAUUUUCCAACUUUUACUUAAAAGCCUACUGACCAAAGAUAGGGCUUAUUCAUAAAAAUACCAAAUUUUGCCCAAGACCUGGCUUGAACUUGGGACCUCCCAAACACACCCAGAACACAUAACCACUAAAGCAGACAUAAAUUUUGUGUCACACAUUCACAAUACCCAAAAUUAAAAUUUUAGGGCAUUACAAAAACACAUUAAAUAAUAUCGCAUAAAACAAUCACAGUUAGAUAACAGUUCAGAAUGUCGAUUUUACAAUUUAACCACCAAUAGUAUCACAGUAUUCACAGUUGUAAUUUCAGAAUAUCAAAUUUCCACAUGAUUCACAAUAUUCACACAUAUAUAAAUAUAUCAUAAUAGAAUUCCAGAUUUGUAUGCACAUGAUUUAGAAGAUGCCAUACAAUUUUGGUUUUUAACAGAAUAAAUCCUACCCCACGUUACAUACCAUAAUGGGAGUUCCCCUAAACUCCCUUCUCCAACACACUAGGUUAUGGAUAAACCACUAUUGGUUCACAAAUAAUAACUGUCAUUUGGCUGUGGACACACAGCAAGUCCCCACAAUUGGAUUCUAGAUUUGGUUGUGGAUUCACAGCAAAAAAAUCCUACAAAUGAAGCCUGCUUUUGCCUGUAGAUUAUACAACAUAUACCCGCAGUUGGAAUCUGUCUUUGGCUGUGGAUGCAGUGUAACACCGCAAACUCGACCUGGACAUUAUGGCUGAAUCUUGAUGAUUUACUUUAACUCGCUAGAAAACCCACGAAUUUACUUUAAAAUCAUGUGGUUAAACUAGUGUUCACUUUGAUAAAUUGUUUUCCAGUUUUAGAGAAAUUUCUUGUUAAAACUGUUACUUUAUUACAAUAAAACAUUAAAGUAAUUGUAUCAUUUUGUAGUGGAAUCUACUAAGCUAUAAGGUUUUGAAAAUCGUGAUUUAGUUUGCAACAAAUCAUUUUGCAAAUAGAAAUUUAAUACUACUUAAUUUGGAAAAUCACGCUAAAACGAAAGCAAAGUCCAAAAUAAUUUACGGUUUGAAAUUCUAAAAAGCCCAAAUUAGACAUAAAGUCUAUUUAAACCAAUUUAUUGAAAGUGUAACACCCUAAACCCGGCCUAUAUGUUAUGGCCAAAUCUAGAUGUGUUACGAAAAAAAGUUUAUAAAAUGACUUCCUUGUUAUUGGCAAACCAUCGUAACCAUUAUUACUUAGUAUAUCUGAUUUGUUUGGAAAACUUAUUGAUAUACUUAUUUGAUUUAAAAUCGUUGCUCGCUUACGCCUUUUUAUUAAACCAAAUAUUUUGCAGCGGAGUUUCUUUACAACAUCAUAUUUUGGAAAAUCAAAUUGUUUCUUGAAAAUCGUUAUUUUAGAAAAGUUUUCAUUUUCAGAAAAAUUAUUUUAUCAGUUGUUAUGCUGAGAAAACAAAAUAAAAUCCAAAACCAAAAAUAAUCGCAAAAAGUCUAGAGAGUCCCAAAAUGACAAUACUCUUAAAACUAGACAAGCUUAAACUAAUUUUAAAAGAAUGAAAUUUUACAGAAAUGUGGACACCACUGAGCUUCCGUCGCACCGACCCACCUAAAUCUGAGGGUUACUUGAACAGAACAAACAAACAGAGAGUGAGUUUUGAAACUUAGUGUCUAACGCAUAUAUAAACAAAAAUUCAGAAUCAAUCUCAUGCAGAACAGAUACAAGUGUAAACCUUUUAUAAAAUUAGAAUUGUACAGAUACAAAUAUGCAACAUCCUACCCUCAUCCUCUACACACCAACUCCGACCAUCCUAUCACACCACGUGGGGUAUAAAAUACCCAUCCAGCCCUACACACCGUAUAGUGUUUAUAUGACACUUUUUGGAAUAAUCGCAGCAGAGUUGCCAGUAUAUAUGCGAGAUAUCACCUCACAUAGAACACUUCCUCCUCAUAAUACAAAUCCCGCCUCAUAGCUAGAUACAGACAAAAUAUCAUGUAAAAUAAAUUAACAGAUACUAGAGUUAACAUAUCACGCGUGAGCGUAUAAUAGAUAUUACACAUGCUUAUGCAUAACAAAAUAGAUCAUACAUAUUGUAUUCCAUAAUACUCAUAUAAAUGUUAUUUACGUCAAUCUCAAUCUAACAGAGUAGCAGAUUUCAUGCUUUAACGCUUAUACCACACAUAUAGACCCUAUAGAAGGCCCACAGUCGAUCGAGACAACAUGUAUGUCGCUAGGGAAAAAAUUUGUAAUUUGGGCCCAUAUACAUGUAUGAGCCCACACACCCAAAAUGGCCUUGCCCAUGUGGCUCACCAACCUAGCACUCAGCCCAUACGGUCCAAAAUGGCCUAGGUCGUGUGUCACACACAGCCGCAUGUUGCACACAGCCUACCACAUAGCCAGUCACAAAACUGUUUGGAGUUGAAAAGCCCAAUUUUUGGCUUUCGUCAAUCAUCAUUUUCUUACGUUUUCAUUACACACCUGGUUUGAUUCUGACGCAAAAGCAACCCUAUGUCCACCGAAACCUAAAAAUAGCAUUCCAACGCCCAAUUUCAGUGAACAUUUACAAAACUCAAACAAAAACUAUCCAAAAACAUAGCCUCACAAUAGCAUCCAACGCACUCGCACACUUAUCGUCAACAAAUAGGAAACACCCAACACUCAAUUCGUUGGCGGAGCACCAAUUAUGAUAAUGCAAAAAUUUUAUGGAUUCUCAACACUAUCGAUCCGAAUGUAAGAUUGAUGCUUUCCAAUUAUGAUAAUGCGAAAAUUUUGUGGGAUGGUUUACAUGAAUUUUUUUUGUUGUCAACGAUCAACGUAUUCAAUAAUUAAAAUAAAAUAUUAGUCGUUUUUAGAAAACCAAGACUAUGAGUGUUGUAGUUUAUUUCAGUAAAUUAAAGGUUUUGUGGGAUGAACUAGAUAAUCAUGAACCAUUGAUUUGUUGCAAGUGUGGACAAUGUUUAUGUAACUUAGGGAAGGCGCAUGAACAAUGUCGUGAGCAUGAUUGACUUCAUCAAUUACUUCUUGCUCUCUAUUGUAAUUGUUAUGCUCAAACUAGGUUUACACUGUUUUACCAAGAUCCUUUGCCUUCCUUAAAUCAGGCAUUCCAACAAAUUACUUAGGAGGAACAUGUACGUGGAAUUACACUGAUUAAGGAAGAGAAGUCUGAUAUUUUAGGCUUUGCUAUGCGUACAGAGGGUCAUAACAAAGGCCGAGCUAAUUGUAUUGAUAAGUCAACCUUGUUGUGCACUCAUUGCCAUCGCAAAAGGCAUGAGAUGGCUACCCAUUUUGAAUUACAUAGCCACUUGGAUUGGCGGCUUAAGAAGUAUGGGAAGCCAGAGAAGAAAAGUGAUGAUCGUGGUGGUAAGACAAGUGCCACAUCUUCCACGUAAGUGUUUUAUUUCAAAGGAUCACAAUUAAACAUUAGAUUUCUCAUUUUUAAUUUUUUUAUUUUUUUAACAGCUACGUAAUUAACGAGUACCAAUUUUGGGUGUUGUAGGGGUUCUAUAACUUUCCCUAUAUGUAAUCGACUCUUGCACCCACUUUUUUUUCUCUAGAAUUCAAUGCAAACCUUAGAUUUAUCUUUUUAAAAGAAUUUUAAAAUCUCUUUAUAAAAGACGAUUUUUUUAGGUGACCAAUCACACUUAAGAAAAACAAAUCGGUGGCAACUCCUUUCUAAUAAAUGUAAAAAAAUUUUUAAACAAAAUAAGGUUGAAAUAAUCUAGUUGUCGUUAUACUUUGAUAAAAUUUUAGAUUUAGUCCUUAUACUUAAAAGGUUAAAAAUUAAGUCUUGUUUUUAUUUAAAAAUCUUAGUCCUAUCGUUAAUAUUGUUUUUUUUUGUCAAAAUUUGUCAAGUUGACAUAUUAAUUAGGUUUCUCUUAUAUAUCGUGGUAUAUGACUAACACAAAAUAAACAAGUUGACAAAUUCUACAAAAAAUAUCAAAGAUGAUAAUAGUUUAAUUAAAAUUUUUAAAUUAAAAAAGUAAGGGAUUAAAUUUAUAACUUUUAAAGUACAAUGAAUGAAAUUAUUGAAAUACAAGAACUAACAACAUAUUUUAAAAUAUUACUAGUAAAUUAUAUAUCUACAACAAGAAUUGUAACCUCUUAUAUUAUAUUCUUGUAUCUAUUUUUGCAUCUUUCAUUAUAAUAUGAUUUAUUAAUUUUAAUAUUUUUAUAGAAUAAUAUGCUUUAAAUAGUUUUUUGUAUAAUUUAUAAAAAUUAUAAUAAACUUACAAAAUAAUUUAAUGAUAUUUAAUUAUUAACCAAAAAAAAUGAUAUCAUAUAUAUUAUGUAUAUAUUAAGAUUCCGAAUCAUUAAUUAUAUAUCUACGCAUUAUAAUAAAUUCAUCUUUCAAAAUUUUCCUUAUAAUUAAAGCAUAAAUUAUAUUUAUAAUAUUAUAAAUAUAUUUUAUCAUAAAUAUUCUUUCAAAUAUUUUUUAAUGUUUAAUAAUAAGUUAAUUUAUAAAAUAUUUUUUCAAUAAAUUAAUGUGAUGAGAUCGUUAGGUGCUUGGAUUUGGUGAAGGGGGAUGAAGAGAAAAGGGAUGGAAGUGAAUAAAAAUGUUGAGAAAUCGAAAGGGUUAGCGAGGGAAGCCGCCAUGAAAGGUGGUUCAAUGGAUAUGAACCAUCAAGCUUUUGUGGAUGAUGUUACUCAAGGUUGUUGCAAGUAAAUUAAAAAAUAUUUUUUUAAAUUAUUUUUUUGUUAAAAAACAUUUUUUAUUUUUUAUGUGGCAUGCCACAUUAUCAUAGUAUCAUGUGACAACUUCUGGUGAUUUCUGUCUGUAACAUUAGUCAAAUCAACAGUUAAAUCGUUCAACUCACAGUUUUUGUUAAAUGAAGAGGUCAAUUGGUUUUUUUGGAAUCAUUGAGUACUCAAUUGGUGCACUUUUAUCAUAAAGGCUAAAUUAAUUUUUUUAAUUUGUUAUUGUUGAGGGCUAUAACAAUAAAAAAAUUAAUGUAAAAUGAAAAAAAUGUUAGAGCUAAAUUUGUCAUUAUAACUAAAAUGUAAAACCAAAAUUUUUUGAAAAAUGAAAAAAAUGGAAAAUCACAAAUUCUAUCACUUAUGUUUGCUUAAAAUUAUAGUUUUGGUCACCAAUCUUUUGAAGUAAAUAUAUGGUCACCAAUAACUCACCUUAAAGUUAUACCCCUACGCAAGAAAGGAUUAAAUGACAUUGGAAUACCAUAAAACUUGUAUCUUUUUUUAUUCAUCUAAUACCAUUUUAACAUUUUCAUUUUAAAAAAUUGACAUAUCAUUUUGAAUUUGAUCUUUUUCAUGGUAUCUCAAAUUCAUUUAAUCUUUCCCUCUCUAAAAAAGCUAAUGUAACACAUUAAUGACAUCAUUUCAAACAAAGUUUUAGGUCAAAUUAUUCAUCUAGUCCUUGUAAUUGUUUUUAUAGGUGAAUUUCAUUAUUAUUCUUUUAUUUUCUUAGGCUUAAAUACACAUUUACCCCUAAUUUUAUCCCAUUCUCCUUAAUUGGUAUUUAUGGUUUAGAAAAUUUUAUAAAUAUAUUAUUUUUUAAGAAAUUAUAAGAAGAUUACAAAAAUUCCAAAAUAAUAUAAAAAAGCCAAGGAAAACCUAGAAAUUCAAAAAAAAAAAAAAAACGUCGACAUUGAAUUUGCUGUUUCACAUUCAAUUUUUGGAGAAGUAGAAUUUUCUAACUUAUUUUCCAUCAACUUGACUUCAAUUUUCAAUCACAAUCAAUUGCAUUCAAGAGCACCACAUCUGUUUGGAUGAAACAAACCUCUCAAUUUUAAGAUAAACGGGUCUUUAGGGUUAUAAAUUGAGGGCCUUUUCCACAAUUGCGGGUGAUUCGUUGAUAAUAACCUCAACAUUUCUGUAUCACAUUUCAAUUUUUAAUUUUUAGAGAGAUGAUUGGGUUACAAGACUGGUUUGAAGUGAAGAUAUUUCAAAAGAAGAUCGAAUACUCUACCAAUAGUCAUAAUUUAAAAUUCAGGUUAUGUUUCAUUUCAGCUAAGUUAAAUGUUAAGAUUGAGGUUAAACCUUUUAGAGGUUGCUCACAAAAGGAUCAAACCUUUAUAAAAUUGCCUAAAUGAAGGUUAAACCUUUUAAAAUAGACAAAUAAGGGCCUAACCUUUUAAAAGGUGUUCAAAUAAGGGUUUCUCAAACGUUGUAUAUCAGGUUAUGUGUUUUACUCUAAACACAUCGACAUUUACCUAUUUUUUCUAUAAAUUUGGUUGAAGUGCAUGAAAAACCCUUAUUUGAGCACUUUUGUAAAGGUUAAUCUCUUAUUUGACCAUUUUGAAAGGUUUGAUCCUUAUAUAAGUAACCUCUAAAAGAUUGAGCACUAAUUUGACAAGUUUGAGAAAUAUCUAAAUUUGUUUUCAUGAAUCAAGAAAUUAAAAAAGAAAUGUUGAGAAAUAUUUUAGAGAUUCUUAGCUUUGACAAGUUCCCUCCACCAUCUCCCUGCCUCCAGUCCCACCUCUUCUCUUAUGCUCCUUCCAGCUUCUUGCCUUUUGUGUGUUGAAAAUUCAAAGGAACAAAAUAUCAACCUACAUCAUAAGGCACGAUCGCCAGAACUUUACUUUCUAGCCUGUCGAUCCGAUCCAAUCCAAUGAAAGAAGAACAAGGAGUCUUAAGAUCUGUCAACUUUAUUUCAUUUUCAUUUUCUUUGUCAUUUUCUAUGUUUCAUGUCGAAUACAAUGAAAGAAGAACAUAGAAAAAUGUGGCCUAUUUAUUUCCCAAUCAUCAUGAAAUUACUUGCCAUUGACUUAGAAUUUUCUCACCAAUUUUCAAGCAAUCUGACAUGAUUUCUCAAUCACAAUUAAUUGAAUUCAAGAUCUUUUUAGAUGACACAAACAUUUCAAUUUUAACACAAACCAAUAUUUCGGUUAUACUUCAGUGCUUGACAAGCACUUUCACAUUUGUGGGAUAAGAACUCUUAACAUUUUAGGAUCACAUUUAAUUCAAUUGCAUUUAAGACCUCAUGGUUUUAUUCUAUAAUUUCAGUCUUAUCAGCCUUUUCGGAAACAAUAAAACGUCGACAUUAAAUUUGUUGUUGAUGCAUUCAAUUUUUUGAGGGGUCUUUGGAGUUAUAUGUGACUUUAGCAUUGACUGACUUUUUUAUAAUUUAUCUUUUAUAAUAAGGUAAAUAUAUUAAUUUUAAUAACAUCGACAUGUUUUUUAGUAGGGUCGAGCAAAACCCAAUUAAAAUCGAUGAUAUUGGCUUAGUUGACUCGGUCAAGUCCAUUAGAUUGAUAAAAUCAUUUUUAAAAUCAGUUAUAAUGGAUAAAGGUAAUUAAUUAUCGAGUAAUGAAAUACAUAAUCAAAUCAAUUGAUUUUGUUAGAAACUAAAAGAAAAAGGGCUAAGCUGAAAAUUGAUUGCCCUUUAUUAAAAUUAACGAAUCUGUCUUUUACGUAUUAGAUAAUAUGAACAUCGCAUAUAUAAUAAGAAAAAUUACGUAUGAUUAUUUAUUAUCAUAAAAGGUUAGUUUAAAUUUAAAGUAAUCUAAUAUGUUUAUUGAACUUCAACUAUUAAAUAAAGUAUAAGCUAAAUAAGUAUAAAUAUUCUAGAAACCAUUUCUAACUGAUGAUAGGCUAAUUCGAUUAAUUUAUAAAAACUAGAUAGUAGGGUUAUAGUCCUCAAACUACACCUAAUUUAAUAACAUUUAUAUUUUUUUUAGCCUUAAACAUUUAUAGUUUUUGUUAAUUUGGUCCUUACUCUUUAAAAUUACAUAAAAAUUGCAAAAAAAUUAAAAAUUAAUUUUUAUCAUGAUUUUAAUAACAUUUAUAUUUUUUUUGUGGUUUGGUAACUUAUCAACUUGACUCUUACUUGUAACCAACUUUUCUAACCUUUUUCGUACCCUUAACCUAAGUCCCGUUACAAUUUCUAAAGACCUCUUGAUUGGUGUAUCAUCUCGAUUUGUUUUUAUAGUGGUGGAGAUUUGUUUUUUGUAGUGGCAUGAUUGCCAGAACUUUACUUUCUAUCCUGUCGAUCCGAUCCAAUGAAAGAAUAACAAAGAGUCUUAAGAUCUGUCAACUUUAUUUCAUUUUCAUUUUCUUUGUCAUUUUCUAUGUUUCUUGUCACAUACAAUGAAAGAAGAACAUAGAAAAAUGUUGCCUAUUUAUUUCCCAAUCAUCAUUCUAACAGGCCGAAUUAGCCCAGGCCCAAACAUUAAUAAAAUGUCCAGAUUACAAAAUAACCAACCAAAAAUUAAAAGCCCAAAAUAAUAAAAUAAAACCCAUUACAUUAACCCAAAACUCCAGCCCAAUUACAUUGAAGCCCAAAAAAAAUAGUUUUUAGAAACCCCUAGGGUUUCUGGAACAAUCCGCGCCGCUCCUCCAUCCGCUUCUCCACGCACGCUGCACCUUUCCACGUGCGCCUCCAGCUGGCAGUGUACCUCCAAUGCAACAAACAAAGCAACAAGCAGCAAAAGAAACGGAAAAACAACAAAAAAAAAAAAGAAAGGAGCAACAAUGUAUAACAGAUUGAUAACAAAUAAUAGAAAAAAUAGCAGUAAAUAGGAAAAAAAAUUAAAAAUAAUGAGGGUAAUUUCAUUUUUUUCUCUGUUUUGGCUAUAAAGAGAGCCGGUCAAAAUCUCUAAAGGGGGAUUUAGAAAUCAAUCAGAAAACAAGUAUUUUGUACCAACAAUUAGAGAAAAAAAAUACAAAAAUAGGGAUUGAAGGUUUUUUUUUCUUUCGUUUCGAUUUAUUUUAAAAUAGCAUAGAAAAUAAAAAGAAGGCUUACCUUGCGACGCCUUCAGAUCCUCUCGAAAAGGGGCUAAAAGGCCCUAUGUGGCACAGAUUUGACCACUGUUCACGGUGGAACCGCAGCGGAGGCGCAGAGGAUUGGCAUCAAUUUAGGCAGGGUUUGAAACCCUAGCAGAGAAAAAAUUAGGGUUGAUAGAUUUUUUUUAAAAAAAUGGCAAAAUGUUGUUUUAAAAAAUUUUGUUUUAAAAAAAUUGUUGCUUUUAUAAAGGGUGUAAAACGGCGUCGUUUAGGGCAUGUUUCGAUGGCCCCAAAACGGCGCCUUAUAAGGCAACCCCCGACGACCCGACCUGCUCCAUGGGGGAUCCGCGUGGUUUUUGUUAAAUGGGUUAUGUCUAACCCUGGCCCUUCUACUUUUUAUACUUGUUUUAAUUUGAUCCUCUUUUUAUUUAUUUUUAUUUCUUUAAAUUAAGCCUGAUAAUUUUUUUCCAUUACAUUUUAAUCCUUAAUGAAACGGCGCGUUUUAGAGGAGAAGGGAAAAUUACCCUUCUAGUCCCUUCUUGUUAUUCGAGUGUUCAGAAGGGUCCUUUUUUGUUUAUUUUUUAUUUGCCCCAAAAUUUUGUUUUAAAGCUUAAUUUAGUCCUAUUUUGUUAUUUUAGCUAUUUUAUUAUUAGAUUAAUUAAUUUAAUAUUAUUAUUACUGCUAUUAUUUUACCCCUAUUAUUUAUAUAUUUAUUAUUAUAACUAUAUCAUUAAAUCAAUUAGUUUUUACAUUAUUAUUUCCAUUCUGUUUUUUAUUUACUUACUUAAAUACUUUAAAUGCAUUUAUUUUAUUUCUUAUUUUUUUAUGAAAUUUCAAAACUUUAGACUAUUUUUUUGUUACUAUAACCCUAAUUUCAUUCAUUUUAUAAUAGUUUUUUUUAAAAUAUUUCUUAGAUUAAUUCCCUCGAUGUUAUUUUGUAUAUUUAUUUAUCUUUUUAAAUUUUCGAUAUUGUCUUAUUGUAUUAUUGUUGUUACUAUCAUUAUUCAUUAUUAUUGUUGAUUUUAUUCUUCUUUGAUUAAUGUUUAUGUUAGAGUAAUAGGUGUUAUGUGAUCAUUGUUAUUAUAUGUUAUAAUUUGUUGACACUCGUAUUGUAGUCAUUCGUCAGCUUAAUAUUUUGAGUAACAUUUUAAAUAUUACAUUAAUUUUGACCCAAAUGCAUAAUUUUUUAAUAAGUAAUAUUUCGUAUUGUGGAAUUUGAGAGAUCAUUCCCUAACUUACGGGGUCUCGAUUUUUUUGAUAAAUCUGAAUAUAAGAACUAUUUUAAAAAAAUACGUUUUAAAAAUUAUCUCGGGAAUUUAAAAAGAAGCGUGUUCUAACUUACGGAAUAUGAUCUUUUUUUAAAAAUCGAGAUAAUCAAAUAUCUUUCAAAUAAAUAAACUUUUCGUGUUUAUUCUCGUUUUAGGAUUUAAGAUAUUGUGUCCUAACUCACGGGACACAAUUCUUUUUCUCGAUUAACGUGAAAUACGCCCUUUUUAAUUUUAUCUUUUUAAGUGAUUUUAACAAAGGAUUGUAUUUUAAAUCUCUUCAAAAUUUUCAAUUUUUCGACAUUGAGACAUUAACUAAUCAAUUAGGUACCAAUUUUGGGCGUUACAAGGGUGUUAACCCUUCCUUGUACAUAACCGACUCCCGAACCUAUUUUUUCUGAAUAUUAUAGGCCAAAAUUGUUUUAAUAAAUUAAACCCUUAAGAGGUGACUCGAUCACAGCUCAUAAAAAUUAUCGGUGGCGACCCUUGUUUUAAAAAAGGUGGUUUCAACAGCUUGGCGACUCCGCUGGGGACAAAAAUAAGAGUCAAGCCGCGAGUUGAUUAUUUCUUAUCUUUUUGUCAGAAAUUGUGAAUUCGAUUUAAAUUUAUGAUCUUUUCAUUGCAUUUUAUGGUCUGCAUCAUUUUUAUAUGCUUGCUUUACUACUUCGAGUCUUUUAAUCUUCGCAUAUUGUAUUGCAUAACCGUUCGGUUAUACCCUUUUAAGCGGGAGUGAGAAAUUAUUCUUUCGUGAGGUUUUCACCUUCGUAUAGGAUAGUGGAUUACUUUCAGGAUACAUCCAUACCUAUGUCUUCGUGAGAUUCUCAUCUCCGUAUAGUCAUAGGGAAAUGUAUUCCCCUGAACUGAACUCAGUCCGUAUGAGCCUAUAAUGGGUGAGGAUUGAGGAAUCUGCUGGUUCAGGUACCCUUUCUUUAGAACUAAACCGCAUGUAGUGAGCCCUAAGAGCAUACCCUAGGUAGAACCACUCCAAACCCCUAGUGGUCACCCAAAUAGGUGCUCUAUUUAUUUUUGCUUGCUUGUUUUUGCCUUGUACUAACCUAUUUGUUAUGGUUAUGAGUGCAUUGCAUUUUUAUCAUAAAAAAGAUGUGUUGAUUCACGUUCAGUUGCUAAAUAGAGAGCUUGUCAUGGAAAACGAAUUUCUUGAUAAAGUGGAAGACAAUGCGGUUGUCCGGAUAUGGUCCAAGAAAAUGUGAAGAAAGAAGGGUGAUAGUCUAAUGGAGGACUACACGACCUUGCUUCGUUGCCUGAUGAUUCAAGUUGACAAAGAUUAUUCGAGAGUCUUCAAUGUCCCGACCUUUUUAAAGAAGCUAACGAGCGUCACGAGGAUGAGCGAGUAAUGAGUUGCGGCCCGGAUCAAGCAAAAAAAAGAUAGAGGAGACACCCUUUUUGAAGAGUUCACGAGAUUUAUCUUAACAUCUAGACGAAGAAAAAGAUCAAUCUCUUGCCUAGAGUAUGAGGGCAAAGCCGUAUAUAUAUCCGCUUUAUGUAAAUAAAUUUGUUUCUAGUAAAGUUUUUCUAAUAGAAUUGAAUCAGAAUCAACGUCUCUUUUUGCAUUCAUUCCAUUCAUCUGCAUUGCAUUUCAUUGCAUCUAGAAUUUCACAAAAGGACCCUAAUUAAUCGAAAUUGUUAUAGCUACCUUGAAAAACUAACGAAAAUUUACCAAUUAAAUAUUCCUAUGGUACCCAUUGCAAAACUAAAGUAAUGGAUCAAAUAUUAGAAAGAUUAGAAACAAAUGCUGAAGGAUAAACAUAACUGCUUUGGCUUAGGGUACAAGCCAGAUACAAGACAAAGAAGAAAUAGGAAAGGAGAACACGUUUGAGCGGGGAUGAGGUCAAAUGGGAGGGAUUAUUCAUCCCAGGCGAAGCAUGCCAAGAGAAGAAAUAUUGAAAACAUGUUUGGGAAACGUUCACAUCAAUGCCAUAUACGAAGAAGCAAUUGAAGGAGUGACCUUGUUAGAUAUCCGCCCUUAUGAACCUAAGAGUGUGCUAAACAAUUGGACUGCAGAAGAAAUUCUUGUAGUGUUUAGAGCUUACUCAUAGUAAAUGUUCAGAACACACUUGUUGCUUUUAGCCUAGAAGUGAUAAGAAUCCCUCUGUGAAAUAGGCUCAUGUAUAAAAAUCAUUAUUUUAAUGAAGUACAAUCUUUGCAUUCAUUUUGAGCAAAAUUUCUUUUAUUCUUUUCAUACGAGUAUUAUUUUGGAUUCUUUAAUUCUUUUGGGAUUUUCUUCCAAAAUCAUUCUUUUAUUACAUCAUAAUCAUACUGUAACAAAUAAUGUAAUAGCCUGAAUUUCAGUGGUGUCGGAAUGGUGAGUCAAGAUCACUAAGUCUGACAAAUGAGUAGAAAAUAUUAAUUAAUUUAGUAAGAAUAAGUAAAUGUGAAGUUAGGAAAAUUUUUUGAAAUAGUGAAUAGUGUACUAGGAAUAAAUAUUAAAAUAAUUAAAAUAAAAAAUGCGGUAUCGAGACCUCGAAGAUUUUAAACCAAGCAUAAGUCUUUUAGAAGUAUUUUUAGAGUGUCAUUGAGUUGGUAUUAAAGUUUCGUUAGAAAAUUUUAACGCUCGGAUAGUUAAUUAACCAAAAAGGACUAAAUUGAAAAUAGUGUAAAAUUUGUUAAAUUGUGAUUAAAUAGCUUAAGUGAUUAAAAAGGAGGGAUUUAAAAGGCAAUUAGGCCCAAAUUAUAUGGGCUGGACGGUUGGGUAAGAAAAAUCAGCAGAAUGUAAGGAGAAACAGGGGCAAAAUUGGAAACUUAACAAAUUAAACAUAUAAAACAAAGACAAAAGUGAAAAAUCUAGAGAUCUGUCACAAUUUAUCAGCAAAAAUGCCAUAGGAGGUCUGAAAGAAGCUGGUUUUUCAUAUAUUUGAAUCAUGUAAGUUUAAUUCUUGAUUAUUUCUUCUAAUUUUUGUGAUUUUGAUACUUUUACAAUUAGGUCCAACUAAUUAUUUCAUUAGUUUUUGAUUUCAUGGCUGAUUUUGAAAGUUACCAUUGAUGAGUGUUGGAUUUUUAUGAUGAAUAAACAUGGAAUUAAAGCUUUAAUUUUGUUAUAUGAUGAUUUUAUUAAGUAAUUUUGAUAGAAAUUGAUUUUUGGGACCUAAUUGUGAAAAAGUUUGGAAUUAGGGUUUGGUGUUGCGGUUUUGAAUAUGAAAGGCUAUGUAGUAGUCUAAAAUAGUUGGAAAAGGUGUUAAUUGAGAAAAAUUAGAUCAAUUGAGGGGUUAAUUGAGUAGGACCAAAUUGUAAAAAACUGUAAAGUUUGAGGUAAAAGUGUAAUUUCGAAAAUUUAAGGGCAUAAAUUGUGAAGUGAAUUAGAAUAGAAUUAUAUGCUGAUGAAUGAAUAAAUUUGUAUUUUAGAUCGAGAACCCGAAGCAAGCCGAGGAAAAGAAAAAGUAGUUGAUUAGUCCCUGAACUUUUACAAAUUCUGCAAAUCGACCCAGGUAAGUUCAUAUGGCUGAAAUUUAAUGAUUAAAUGUUAAUUUCAUGAAUUAUGUAAUGUAUGAUGAAAUGUAUUUAGUGUUGAAAUGAGAGUAAAAUAAAAAUGCGAAAAUCGAAUAAAUGAUCAAAUUAAGCGGAACGCCGGAUUUGAGUACUUCUGAUCAAGAGACAAAGUGAUAAGUGGUAGCUUUAGCUACACUUAUCUGAUCAAGUGAAAAAAGUGAUAAGUGCUACACUUAUCUGAUCAAGAGACAAAGUGAUAAGUGGUAGCUUUAGCUCACUUAUCUGAUCAAGUGAAAAAGUGAUAAGUGCUAUACUUAUCUGAUCAAGUGACAAAGUGAUAAGUGGUAGCUUAGCUACACUUAUCUGAUCAGGGCCAAAUGAUAAGUGAUCAUACGUAAGACCAUAGUUAUACUAUGGCCAAGUGAAAGUGAAGUACUCAAUUUUCCGUAACCGUUCCUUAAUUUUGAUCAAGGAUGGUAAGUGACAAUAGGCCCAAAGAAAUUAUGGUAAAAGAAUAAGUAGUGAGUUUAUACCAAGGACUCUCCAAAGAUUGUGGUUGACAAGUAAACUUAGUAAUGGUGUAUAUUGUAUAAGUGUACAAAUGUUUGGUAAGAUUUAUGUUUGUGCCUAUGAACUUACUAAGCUUUUCUAUAGCUUACAUGUGUGUGUUUAUUGUUUUUCUAGAUUAACGUAUUUAUACAUUCGGAGGAUCGGAUCUACUUCGAGAAUCACACUAUCCAGAUAUACUCCGGUAGAUUUUGUUAAACAACUUUUUGGAUUUAUAUGGCAUGUACANNNNNNNNNNNNNNNNNNNNNNNNNNNNNNNNNNNNNNNNNNNNNNNNNNNNNNNNNNNNNNNNNNNNNNNNNNNNNNNNNNNNNNNNNNNNNNNNNNNNNNNNNNNNNNNNNNNNNNNNNNNNNNNNNNNNNNNNNNNNNNNNNNNNNNNNNNNNNNNNNNNNNNNNNNNNNNNNNNNNNNNNNNNNNNNNNNNNNNNNNNNNNNNNNNNNNNNNNNNNNNNNNNNNNNNNNNNNNNNNNNNNNNNNNNNNNNNNNNNNNNNNNNNNNNNNNNNNNNNNNNNNNNNNNNNNNNNNNNNNNNNNNNNNNNNNNNNNNNNNNNNNNNNNNNNNNNNNNNNNNNNNNNNNNNNNNNNNNNNNNNNNNNNNNNNNNNNNNNNNNNNNNNNNNNNNNNNNNNNNNNNNNNNNNNNNNNNNNNNNNNNNNNNNNNNNNNNNNNNNNNNNNNNNNNNNNNNNNNNNNNNNNNNNNNNNNNNNNNNNNNNNNNNNNNNNNNNNNNNNCAAAAUUGGAAUCUUGAGAGAAGAAAUGUUGAAGAUUGAAGUCGGAAUCUGACCUGUAAGGCCUUUAAUUGCUUGAAUAUUAAGCAUUUCCAAACUAAAAAGAUUACCAAUUUCUUCAGGAAUUUAACCUGCAGACAUAGUCGAAACAUCAAUAUGUUAAAUUACCUAUUUUGUUAGAGUAAAUCAAAGAGGAUUUUUAUUUUUUUCGUUAUGAAAUAAAAUGGAUAUGUUAGAUUCAAAUCAUAUUUAAGUAUAUAUUAGUUCUUGAAAGAAAGAGUUCUUAUUUUUGGUAUUUAUAAUGCAAAUAUUUUUUAAAAAAUUUAACAAAAAUGAGGGGGAAAAUGUGUUUAAACUAAAGACAUCAAGGAAAAGGCAUACCUUCUAGGUUAUUUAACCCCAAGUAUAAUUGUUUAAGUUGUGUCAAUUUCCCAAUGCUUUUUGGAAUGAUCCCACUAAAUUGAUUAAUAGACAAUUCCAAAAUUUGAAGAUUGCAGCAUUUGUCUAUACUUGAUGGAAUAGAACUUGAUAAUUCAUUUCUUCUCAAGUAAAGCUCUUUCAGCUUGGGAAGUUGGACACACAGAUCAUCGGGCAAGCCACCAGAAAGACUAUUAUCACGAAAAUGAAUCCUUUUUAAAGACGAAAUGUUAAAGAUGGAAGAUGGAAUCUGGCCAGAUAAUUGAUUGAAUCCCAAGGCCAAUAUCUCUAAAUUGGACAUGUUGACAAAUGUUUGAGGGAUUGUGCCUGUGAAGUUAUUAUUUCUCAUUUCCAACCUUUGAACUCUAUGCAAGUUCCCAAGCCAUGAUGGAAUUUUCCCAUUAAGACGGUUGUAGCUUAAUCGAAUGAUCCUCAAACGAUGCAAUUGGCCCAGUUCUUUAGGUAGAUGGCCAUAGAAAUUGUUGUUGCUCAAAUCGAGAGAAAAUAAAAAUGAAAGAUUUCCAAGGUGUGGAGGGAUAGUACCCCUAAGAUUCAUGUUUGUAAGAUUCAAAACUACAAUUCUUUCAUGGAUAAUGCCACAAAAAACACCAAGCCACUUACAAACAGAGGUAGAAUUCGUCCAAUUGUUUGCCAACACAUUUUGAGGAUCGACAAUGCGAUCUUUAAACUCAAAGAGUGCAAACUGAUCGGAGUUAAGAUUCCGGACUGUCAUAGCCAAGGAAACAAUAGAACAUUGUAUGAAUAAAAGUGAAAAAAGAUGAAAGCAAGUGUUGUAGUUCAUGAUUGCAAGACGAAAUAAGCCAGGAAAAGAAAAAGUAGGAAAAGGGCAGUUGAAUUGAUGAAGAAAUAGCCAGCCAACAUGCUUAAAUAGCCUUCAACCCUUGCACACUUCUCAUACAUAAAGUUCACUGCCAUUACAACAAGAAAACUCAUAUCUCCAUUCAUACCCAUCCAUACUUUAUUUGACUAACUUUUCCCUAACAAGUGUUCAGUGAGGAGACAAAUCACUUUGGAGCUAUUCACUGACUUCUCCAACCUUAGUUUCAAACUCCUAGCCCAUCAAUUCACUUUAAUUGAAACGAGAUACACGAGUCUUUCGGCUUAUAUUUUUAACUUACUACUUCUCUUUUUAAUUUAAUUUUUGUUACUUUUCAUAAUAUUUUUUGAGAAAUCCCAAUAUUCCAGUCUGAAAUUUCUUCACUGCCACGUCCAUCUCCUGGGUAAGUCCAUGGUUAGGCAGCCCACUUUGGGAGCAGGAUUGUAAUUGUAAUUCUAUCCGACUCAUUUUACUAUUUAGAAAUAUAAAAGUAAUAUUAUAUUAUUUUUUAUAUUUUUAUAAAUUUAAUUUUAAUUAUAAUUUUUAAACAAUAAAACGAGUCAUUUGUAUUUGCCUAGUCUAAAUUGAAUCAGGAGUCAAAAAAAUUUUAAUCAUAAUUUACUAUUAUUUUAAUGAAUUAAAUUUUAACCUACUACAACUAGUAGUUGCAGAAAAAAUAUCAUUCCUUUAGAAAAAUGACAACUUAUGAAGCAUUCAAUAAGAGUCAUUGGAAUAAAUGGUAACGAAAUCAUAAUUCAAUAUAAAGCUAAAAAAUGUACCAAUCUAUAUAAAUAAUGUAAGAUUUGUGAUACCUAAAUUAUUAUAGUUUCCAUAAAUAUAUGGAGAUAUUUUAUUAGGAAAUAAUUUUAUAUAUAAAAUUUGUUAUUUUCUUUUGAUAGAAAUUUAAUUAUGUUAUAUGUAGAAAAAAAAUAUUUAUAGAAAUAUUAUUAGUAGAAAAUCAUAAAUUUGUGUGUGGCAAAAAAAUUUCACCACCAAGAAAGGGACAAAUUAAACAACUUGAAACAAGUCAUUGGUUGUUUAAAAUAUUAGAUAAUAAUUUCAGUGAAGAAUCAUUAAAAUUAUGACAAAAUUAUUGUAGUAUUAAAUUGGAAAAUCUCAAUAAUAUUAUUAGAGUAAAACCUAUGAUCUAUCUAAACAAGAUAUAGAAGAAUUUGAUAUACAAAUUAAGGUUAGAAAUCAUGCGGAAAUAAAAAAAAAAAGAAAAAAAAGCUAGUAUGAUCAUUAAUUAUAAAAGAUUAAAUCAAAAUAUUAUUUUUUAUAGUUACUUGAAUUAAUCAGGCUAAACAAACAAAAUAUUUAAGUAAAUUUGACUGCAAAUCAGGAUUCUAGCAAAUCAUGAUAACAGAAAAGUCCAAACCUUUAACGGCUUUUACUGCACCCAAUGGACAUUACCAAUGGAAAGUGAUGUCAUUUCAAUUAUGUGAUGCACCACAAAUCUUCCAAAGACUAAUGGAUUUUAUAUUUAAUAAAUAUAAAAAAUUUGUAUAGUUUAUAAAGAUGCUAUUUUCAGAUACACUAGAAUUACAUAAGAAACAUUUAAAUAAUAUUUCUUAAGAAUUCAUAAAAUAUAGAAUCAUAUUAAACCCUAAAAAUAUACCGUUAGAAAAAAGAGAGACAAAAUUUUUAUAAUAGUGGAAAUAAAAAAUUGUCCUCAAAAGAUUGAAGGGAAAAGUAUUUGCUAGAAAUGUUUAGUGAUGACAUUUAGAGAUUGUAUAUACUAGAUGAUACAUAUACCAGCUAAAAUGUUCCAAAUAAUUACGAGUCCUAGAAGGACAAAGCGAUAAAAAUAAUUUUUGGGCACGCUAGAAGGAUGAAAAACUAGUUUGUUCUAUAAAUAAAAAAAUUCUUGAAAGAAAAGAGUAAGAAAUGAAGAUGGUCACACAUUAAAAGAGACGAGUACUCAUGAAGAGACCCAAUGCAUAACUUUUAAUAAAACGCCAAAAGAGGUUCAAUACAUGAAAUUAUGAAUAUAAUAAGAUAUCUCGAUUAGUUAUAUCAUAACUAAAGAUGAUGGAGUUGAUAAAAGGAAAUUGUUGUUAACAACGAUAAUCUACGUAGAACAUUUCAAUAUUAUGGAAAAAUGAGUAUUUUGAAUGAAAAUAUACUUGAAAGCAUUGAGAUGAGAACACCUCAUCAAAAUAAAUAGACGUUUCUAUUAUAACUUAUGAAAUGUGUCUCGGACAUGAAGUCCAAACAUCCGACAGGUGUAAAGUCAAGUGGAGUAUAUGUUAGCAUAAUAAUGAAAAAAUAGAAAUCAUAAUAUAUAGAAUUGACUUGUAAUACAGACUUUCACAAGACACUUGAUUUUGAUUAUGAAAAAUUAUUAAUUUGUGAUCUUAUCAAUUCAACAUACUUCGUAUAAUCAACGAAUUAUCAAUUAACCUCAUUUAACCAAUUUCCUUCAACACAUUUCAAAUCAAAUUAAUGUGUUGACCACGCCCUUAACCCUUUUUCUUGAUUCAUUUCAUAGUCUAUUUCCAAGUACCAUAAUCAUCAACAUUUCAAUAUAUAAAGUCAUAACACAAUGAAUCCUAGUUAGAAUUUUUUUACCCUAUUAACCAAGUAUGGAACAAAAAUAAAAACCUAAUUUGUCAAGCUCAUUCAAUCAACUUAUAUUUUAUAAGAAGAGCCUAGAGUACAAUUUCUAUACACGAUUUCAAAUUCGACUAUUUGUAUUUGAGAUUGAAUUUAAAAUUCAUACUGAAAUUAUCAAAUUAACUCGCAAGCUACUCAAGUUAAACAUUAAGGUACUCGAAUUCAAGUGGCUAGAUAUCACAAACUCUUUUAGCUUGUAAAACUAUUUCUAAGGGUCAGCCCAGAAUCAUGGUUGAGCCCAAAAUCUGGUGACAAAAAUUUAAUUGUGCCAUCGGCCUAAAACGAAAAAGGCUUAAAUGGUUGGCAACCGAACUAUCAAAGAUAAACACCGCCAUACGCCACUCCCCGAAUCCGAUAUAUACAAAAACGCCUUUACCAAUUUUGUUUCUCUCCUUUUCUUUAACCUCAAUUUGGAAGGUACCCUUUCUCUCUUUAGUGCUUUCUAGGGUUUGGGUUUUAAGAAUCCUCAGAGAUGCAAUUCAUGGAUCCCACUAAGAAACGCAAGCUUGAUGAAAAUGGUAUUAUUUCAGCGGUAUCGGAACCUGACCCAAUCACCAAACUAACCCCACAAGAUGGCCGCAAGCUAAUCGAGCGAUUCACCGUCGAUCAACUCCUUGACAUCCUCCAAGACGCUGUUUGUCGUCACUUUGAUGUUCUUUCCGCCGUACGCUCUAUUGCCGAUCAAGAUCCAUCUCAAAGGAAGCUCUUCAUCCGUGGGUUGGGUUGGGAUACUACAACCGACGGCCUUCGUUCGCUUUUUUCGGUCUAUGGGGAACUCGAAGAAGCGGUCGUUAUCCUCGACAAGGCUACUGGGAAAUCCAAAGGGUAUGGAUUCGUUACCUUUAAGCACGUCGAUGGUGCUUUGCUUGCUCUUAAAGAACCCAGUAAGAAAAUCGACGGUAGAGUCACGGUGACUCAGCUGGCGGCAGCGGGGAACUCGGGGACGAAUACUAACCCUGUGGAUGUUCAUAUGAGGAAGAUUUAUGUAGCCAAUGUGCCGUACGACAUGCCAGCGGAUAAGUUAUUGGGUCAUUUUGCACAGUAUGGGGAAAUUGAAGAGGGUCCUUUGGGCUUCGAUAAGCAGACCGGAAAAUCAAAGGGAUUUGCUCUUUUUGUUUAUAAGACGGCAGAAGGGGCUCAGUCGGCGUUGGUGGAGCCAGUGAAGAAUAUUGAUGGGAGACAAUUGAAUUGUAAGCUUGCUAUUGAAGGGAAAAAAGGGAAGCCGGGACAAGAUGGGAUGAUGCAAAGUGGAGUUGGGGCUGCAGGAAAUACAGAGAUGGGGGUUGGAGGACACGGUGGUGGUUACGGUGGCCAUGUGGGGCCUGGUGGACCAGGUGGCAUGGGUGGUUAUGGUGGAUUUCCUGGUGGGUUGCAAGGGCCGCCCGGCCCAAUGGGUCAUCCUCAUCACUUGAAUUCUUCAGGAGUUGGGGUUGGGGCAUUGAGUGGGAGUGGAGGCGCCGCUGGUGGUGGUUAUGGUUCUGGUCUUAGUGGGCCGUAUGGUGGUUAUGGUGGACCAGGCUCAACUGGCUAUGGUGGGUUGACUGGUGCUGGUGCAGGGGUUGGUUUGAGUGGUGCAGCUUUAGGGUCUUCUUUAUAUAGAAUGCCACCGAACUCUGUUGGGAUGCCAUCUGGGGGAUAUCCGGAGACUGCUCAUUACAGCUUGUCUUCCGCAGCUGCUUUCCCCAGUCAGCAUCACCAAGGAGCUGGGACGUCCCCUGUGCCGAGAGUUCCACCUGGUGGAAUGUAUCCCAACGGACCACCUUUCUACUGAGGUAGUUCUCCUUGUUUUGGUAUUCUGUAAAUUCAUUUAUGCUACACUAGGUGUUAUUCGUUUUUUACUCUCUGCUGAUUGGUGACUUGAUUUCUGUCUUUGUGCUUGCUUGCUUGCUUGUUUUGUUGUACAUAUUUGUUCCUUGUGUGCGAUUGCUUGAAACUUUUUGGCUUUUCCAGCUUUUUUCUGAGUUGUGUUACUUCUGUGCUAUAUACUUGCUUAAUUGUCUGUAAGUGGUUUUUCCUUUGUUGAAGAUACCAUAUAUUGCUGCAUUUUGUUGCAUUUUCAAAUGCAUUUUUUCUGUUGCUGAUUAGCUUUUAAAUCUUCUAUUAUAUACCCAAAAUUUCGAAAUUUUAUGCCCAUAUAUUGAGCCAUAAGUAUAAAUAAACUUAUCUAGCCUCUUAUUGUUUUUGUCAUGAAUCAAGUGACUGACACCACUUGUUAGUGAAUUGUUUUUUUUUUAAAAAGCAUGUUAAAUCUUAGUAAAUAUAAGAAAUACUUUAUAUACCUUUUAACUUCAGGUGUUGAAAGGCAUGUUAUGAUCUUAGGUUUAAUCAUGUGUAGAGAACUGUCUUCUGCAGAUUUUGGGUUUUAGUGAAUGGAUAUUGUCUUGAUGAGAACAAGCUCUCUUCUAAAUUCUGUGAGAUUGAAAUGUUUCUAACAGUGAGCACGCAUACAGUUCUUUUUGGUAAACAUUUUUAACUAAGAUGCAUACAAGUCCUUUGUGUACACAUUUUUAACUAUCUGGGUUGAUUUUAUUUUACCAAUGUCCAUUAUUUAAAUGAUGUUGAGAUAAAAUGAUAUGUCCAUCUGUAGUAAGUUUUCCAAAUAUAAUAGCAGUUUUCUUGUGUUUGAGUUUUCUGUCUCCUUUUAUGUUUAUGGAGUUUUGUGAAUCUCUCUCUUGGUAGAAUUAUUUAACAUUCUAAAUUUGUACUCCAGAAUGCACACUUCAUUUGAUUCGUAGCAAGGGGCAAAAAUAGAAUAGCUAAUUUCAAUGUAAAAUGCUUCUUCCUACUUAGCUGAUAUUUCCUGUUCAACUUGCCUUAACAUGCCAGCUUUGCAUGGCAUAUUAUAAUUUUGAUAUUCUUCUUUCUUUGCUUUUUAUAAUCUAGUGAGGUGGUCAGACUGUGUGCAGAAGCCAAGAUAUCCUUUAUGCAGCCUUAAUCUUUCUAAUUGUUGAUUCCCAUUUGCUAUGUACCAAAAAGAAAAAUCUUUGUUUGCUUCUUAUAAUCUAGUGUAUUUUUUUUAGUUGAUUACCUAAUUUCUAACUACUCUGAGGGAAUAUUAUCCUCAAAUGGAAUCUAGCUUUGCAUUAUUUCAUGUUUCAAAAUGUUUUUGAUCACUGUGGAGUUGUAUGACUUUUUUUUCCUGUUGUAUUGCGUGAUGGUCUGUGCUGCCGUUUAAAAAUUUCUAUUUAUUUGACUGGACAUGAUUGCUGCAAUUGCUUUGCUUCUGUUUGAUCUUUUGUUUGUUUGAAAGUUUGAGCUGAUCCAUUCAAGUAAGUGCAGUGUUUGUUUCUAUUCCACUAAUUUUGCUUUAUACACUGCUUUUCGAUUAGCUUUGACAUUUGUUUUGCUUGGUGAUGUGGAAUGAUGAAUUGAGUUGUCAAUGGGUUUGAUUCAGGUUUAUGACAGCUUGUUGGGCGCAGAUGCUUUUUGUGGUUCUGGUGAUUGCGUGAAUGCAAGACUAUAUAUACUCUGGCUUGAUGAAUGUAUUUGCUUGGCUCUUACAGCCACUUCUCUUGAUCUGCACCUAUAAGAUGUUUAUUUCUGAUUGCUGGUUGGCAAAACAUGUGACAUAGACUAGCUUUUCUAUGUUAGGAACUUCUGUUCCAGUGGCUCUUUUAAUCAUUAGUAUAGUUUUUAAUAAUAAAAGUAGUGAGUUAAUGUUUUUUCCCCUAUUCUUGCUAAUAUCUACAGUUGCUACCGCAUCUCCCUUACUUGGAAGUUUGUUUCUUUGUUGGUUGAUGUUGCUAUAAUUUUGUCUUUUCUAUCUUGUACGCAUAUUCAAGUUGAAUGUAGUUCUUUAUUUUUCCAUGUAAAAUAUUUGGGGUGUAAUGAACCUACACUGGGAAGUUGUUACUAUGUUGUUAAAUAAAUGAUUUCUUUUAGCACUUAGCUAAACAAAGCCAUUUUCUAAUGUAAUUUAUUGUGUUCCUUAACUACUUUGAUGUACCCAGUAUAUCUAAAUGACAAAGUUUCCACCCUAAGAUGUCUUCAAGACUUUUGUGUUUUUGCAUUUUAUUAUUUAGUUGCUAAGUUUUGGUUGCCUUCUUGUGAUACUUGCCUAUAUUCCUUUUAUUGAGGAGAGGUAAUUCUGGUUUCCUGAAUGUGUUCAAAUUUGUACCCUCAUAACAUGGACCUUUUGAGUGGGUUCUUGUUUCACUGAAGAAUCUAAUAAUGUGAAUGUAGCAAGUACUUAUAAGUGUAUGUGCUGCUGCCAGUUUUUGAUGUUGUGGUGCUUGUAUAAUCUGUGUGGCUGUCGUUGGGUUCUGUUGGAUUUGUAACUGAGCACAUGCUGUGUAUCAAUUUAUUGGUGACAAUGUAUCUUUUUCUCCCAUGUGCUGCAACUGUCUCUGGCAGUCAUCUUUGUUGGUUGACUACUGUUUUGUUAAGUGUCUUGUAGGUUUUGCAGGAAACCAUUUGAAAGGCUAGUGUUUAAUUUCCCUUUAUCUUUCCUGGUGGUGGCAGUUCCUGCAGCUAAUAAUGAUAUUCUAUGCAUUAUGAAAUUUUUUUAGUCUACUUGCUGAAACCAAGGUCAAUAUCCUGUUGGAAUGGAGUUGUUCAUUCCAUGGAUCUAAAUAUGAUAUUCUAUGCAUUAUGAAAUUUUUUUAGUCUACUUGCUGAAACCAAGGUCAAUAUCCUGUUGGAAUGGAGUUGUUCAUUCCAUGGAUCUAAAUAUGCCUUUCUCCAAGACGAAAUAUACGCAUCUUAGGGCUGUUUUUGGUUAAUGGAGUGAGACUAAGAAGGCUUUUCCCUAGUCUUUCCAUCGAGCUUCAGUUGGCAACUUUUCACAUUAAUGUAUGAUGAUAUUCUUGGAUGCAUAACAUGCAAGAUCUCUCUCUAGAUGAAUUUUUGAAAGAAUUUCCCUGUGUGAUAUGCUUGUGGUAGCCGAUUUUGAUACUUGCACCUCUUAAGAUAUCUUGGCUUGUUUCUCUAAAGAGGGGUUCAUGUUAUGAAUGAUGCGUAUCGUUUUAAGGGGUAGAAACCAUUUGAUCGUGAUUUGUUUUUGCUUGCCAAAUUUGCAGACAGAAUGGUGUCAAGUCUUUUAACCAUGAUAUUUGGAUACCCUGUUGACUUUAAAUAUCUUAUCCUAGAUGCUAAAUUUGGCUUUUAUUGGAAAUUAGGAUUCUUUUCCAUGGUGUCAUUAUCUGAUGAAAAAUUAGGCAAUUUGAACUGACCAUUUAUCUAGUUAUGUUGUCCUCCUCUUUCGAUAUUCUCAUUUAUCUAUCUAGGUUGCUUUCAAGAAUAUUUUUUUCCCCAUGUUGAAAGAAACAGGAGCAUAUAUUUUCACUUUGUUUGACUAUUGGCUAGGGGAGUUGAAUUGUCUAACAUCUUUUUAUGGUGUUGAGUGGAGAAUUGAUGCUCUGUUUUUAUGCUAACCGGCAUUGGUAUCUUCUUUGUUCUCUGCCCUUUUUUGGCCAUUUCCUGUGGAACAACACUGAGCAUAAAACCAACCUCAAAGAUAAAGAUGGAAGGCCGGACGAGGCUGCACCCCAAAGCACUCAAAUGAAGCAAGUAAUGUGCGCUCUCUCAAUACAAAAAGAAAACAUCAGCAACCAUCAGUCCCCAGGAGCUAAUCCAAGACCCGAUGAUAUUGCAGCCUAACCUUGUGAUUGCUGGAGAGAAAGUGGUUGAAGUGGUGGGCUCAUUGGUGAUGUAUUAGAAUGUACAGUUUUAUAUCCCUAACCGGAGGAAGUUGUCAUGAAAUUUCCUGAACUCCACUCUUUGUAUAUCUUUGUCCUUAAUUUGAAGUUUCUAGGAAUGAGGACUUGAGUUGGAAAUAAAAGGAAGACUAUCCAACAAAUGGUCUUAUCUUUUCAUUAGAAAGAUGUGACGUAGCUUUUAUUCAAAGUGUAACCAACAAGUUCAAAGAGCGACUGGUUAAUAUCUCAGGAUUUCAAUUUUGAUAAAAUAAAAUUAAUAAACAUUAAAUAUAAAAAAUAAAUUAGUUCAAGUUAUUCAAGUACUAGUAUAAUCAGUGUUUUGGUGGGUGCAGUGGUUAUUCCCUAUUCUAUUUUUUUAAGUCAACGAGAAUAUUUUUACAUAAAUAUAUCUUCUGAUUUUGAUUUUUUGUCCUAAUGUAGGUUUAAUAGAAAAUCAGUAACUGUGUUUACAAAAUUUUAAAUCAAAGUGUCCUAAAACUGUAAAUAAGUUGAAUUUUUUUUAAAAUUUGAAAAUUAGAGUUGAAAGAUGAUGAAGUAUUUUGAAUGGAAAGAAAAAUCAUAAUCCCACUAUUAAUUAAUUAUUAUUUGAUGUAUAAGUAUGAUUAAAAUGAUAGUGAUGAUGGUGAAAUCAUAAAUGCAAAACUGUUUCCUUCCCUCAUUCCUUUGUUUCAAAGCAUUAUCUUUAUACAAAUUGUACUUCUUAGGUUAUCCAUUACACGUUUUCUCACAUUAAAUCAUUUAUUUUUUAAAUAAAUUUAGUUAUUAUCUUGCACUUAAUGAUAAAUCCGGGGUGGUUUACCCAUUAAAGACUACUCAAAACCCCUCCGCUUUCUCCACAUAAAACCCCUUUCUCCUCUCUCAAUAAAACUCUGUUGAUAAAAGAUCAACGGUAUCCGCCGUCCACCACCGGCCACGGCCACCCGUAAGCCAACCCAUCUUCUCUUUCUUCUUUUUAUUGUUCUGGGUUUUUUCUUAUAUUCCUCGGUCUUUGUAAUUCUCAUAAGUUUUUCUAAAAUUGUUUUUACUUUUAAUGAAUUCGGACUCUUUGUUAUGUAGAGAUCUAUGUCCCUUCGUAUAUCUUGAUGUAAAGUGAAUUUUAUUUAUGGAAAACAGCUGAUGAUUGUGCAAAAUACAAUUUUUAGAUGAUUUUCGUGCUUUCUAUGUUUGUGCAUGCUGCAUGCAUGUAUGUAUGUAUGUAUGAUGGUGAUGAAGUGAUAUGUCAUACAUUGUCAGGGAAAAUACUAAAACGAAAAAUACUUCUUUAAUGGAAUGUUUCAAAGCAAUAAUGGGAAAAGAAGAUUUUUAUUUUUUCUUCUUUUUAGAGUGAUGAUACUUAUGGAUGGUUAAAUUGGUGAAAACAGUUAUUGCGAUGUAAAAACGGAUGAAAACUAAGGGCAUAACGCAAUGUUAAUUCUUAGUUUCCUUGAAAUUUGGUUUUUUGAGAUGGUUAGCCAUGGAGGAUAUUGUCGGUUUCAAGUGCUACAAGCUGUUAAUUUGUGAAGUGGAUGAAUUAAAAUGCGUUUUAGUUGCAUAUUAUGACAUAACUGUACUUUGAUUGAUAUUAUAGUAAUUGGGAAGACAAUUAAAUGUAUGUCUCAAUCUAUUUGCACCUUUGAAUUGAUGCUUUCCUGACUUAGAUGUUGGCGGUAUUACGCAUCUGGGUGUUUUUAUUUUCAUCAAGUUUUGUAAGUGUUCACUACAAUUCUGCAAUUUAUUUCAGGCUAAAUUAAAGACUCGGGGGGCAGGAAUAAGGCCAUAUACCUGUUGUUAAAACUGAGGUAUGUGUGGCAUUGGCUUUAACAAUCUGACACUCUGUGAUGGAUUCUAGAUUUAAAGGUAUUGGCUGGGUGGGGGGCAUUUACCAGAAGUUUGAAACGUUGUGCCAUGAGAUGGAUAAUAUCGUGAAUCAGGUAUUAAUUCUUUGAUCCCAUUAUGAGGGAAUUGCUUCCUCCCAUCAUCAGCCAUGAUGUGGUAUCAGUUGGCUGAAUGAACUUAUGGUGAUUAGUAGUGUUUGAUGCACCCGAGAAUAUAUAUGCUUUGGCUUUCUUUCAUAAUGUUGUAAAUGGCUUUAUCUGCAGGACACUGUCAAAUAUGUUGAGAAUCAGGCACAAAGUGUGGGUAAAAGCAUGAAGCGAUUUUAUUCUGAUGUUAUGCUUCCUCUAAAACAUGAUGCCAAAGGAGUGGCUUUAAAAAGAAGCACUACAAUUGGUACCUCUUUUGAAUCAAAGGUUGCUGAAGUUGAUCCCAUUGAAAAACGGCCUGAUCAUGCUUCUAAUGAACUUUUCCAUUCAGUUCAAUUAAGUAUUCCGGCUUCUGUUGAUGCCUUUGAUGGGGCAGACUCGGACAAAAUGUCCCCACUAGUUAGUGAUGUUAUGAAAACUACAAGCUCUGAUGUUAGCAGAGAAGAAAAUGCCAUAAGGAAAAUGGCAUCCAGGUCUGAUGUACCAGAGCUGAUAUCUCAGAGUGAGGAUAAAUUCAUUGAUAUGGAGUUCCAAUCCCCUAAAAGGGAGACAAGAGUUAGUGAUAAUACUACAGUUGAUGAGGUAAACAAGCAGCUUGAGUGUGAGUUUGGUGAGAUUUGCCAUGUAGACCAACCAGGUAACCUUAAUUCUGUGGAUUCCCUUUUGGGGAAACAGUAUGUAACUUCAGAACAAGUUGCUGGUUUUUUGAACGAUACAAAACCUGAAGUGAACCCCGAGGAACAUUCCACAAUGGAAAAGCAUUCAGCAUCCAUGGUGUCAGGUUUACUAUCUCCUUUUGAGAAGGAAUCCUCUGGAUCUUCAAUGUUGAGCAAGUUCAUUGAUUGUAAUGAGAAAGAAAUGCCUUUCGAAGCUGAGGUUCCUCCUUCAACUUCAGUUCAGGAUGUGAGAAAGCCAUCUGUAUCUGAUGUUUCAGAGUCAAUCUUUCCUGGUGAGGAAGAAUCAUUUGGAGCUUCAAUGGUGAAUGAGAUUGUUAAUUGUGAUGAUGAAAUUCCAUCUGUUGUUCAAUCUGAUGUUUCUUCUGCCACUUUAGUUCAGGGUGACCAAAACGAAAGAAAAGAUAAAAAUGAUCGUGCAGGUGUCUCUGACUGUGUCUCAGAUGCUUCAGGUGAUGUUACUUCUUAUAAAAUGACCUCUUCAGGCAUUCGCUCUGAGGAAGUUAUGGCAGAGGUUGGAGUCGUUUCUCCUUGUGGUUCAGUAUUAAAGGAAAUUUAUUUUCCGGAGAAGAAUUCGCUUGAACAUUCACCUGCAAAAGCUUUAAUUUCUCAUGACCCCAUUAACGUGGCUGAAUUGACAGUACCCAUCUCGUCUGGCAAUGACUUGUCCAUGGCAUCUCCUGGUUAACAACUUGUUCUUACGUUAUGAUAAGCAUAUAUUUUCUCUCUUGCGGAAUUGAUUUUCAUCUUGUGAUAUCGCAGAAAAUGAUGCCUACAGAACUGCUAAUAGUCCCAAGUCCCUGACUGAAAUAUCAGGAAGCAAAAAUGUUUACUUUGGUGGUGAACCUGCUCAAAUUCAGGCUUUAUCCUUAUCUAAUAUUGGUAAGCAAGCAAAAUAUAUAGCUUGAUUGCUUUCUUCUCUGCCUUCCUUUUAAGUGUGUUUCUCCAUCCUCAUUUUUGUUAAUGUCAAAUAUCAAUAGCAGUAGUUGUAAUUGUGAUAUCAAUAAUGAGGAUGAUGAUAUUGCAAACUGUACAGUUCCGACUUUACUUGACAUAAUAAUAAUGACAAGAACUUUGUACCAAAAAAAAUGUUAGAACCUUCAGAAACCAAGCUUGUUUUAAUUGUGUCUAGUUUUUUUUCUGCCAAUUGGGAUACAAGCCACUAUUGUUCAAUAAUGAAAUAAUAGUAACGUUAAAAAGGAGGUUUCUUCAAAAGAUAUGAUGGUUAUAUCUUUAAACGGUUAGGUCAGUCAGCAACAUGAUCAAAAUGACUUUCAAAUUAAUCAAUAUGUGUGUUUGUGUGUAUUUCUAAAGUAUGAAGUCACUAGUCUUUGUGAGUGAUGAAUGGUUCUUUAUGUUAUGCAUUUUUGGUUAUUGGUUUGCACCAUAUCAUAGAAACUUUGUUUUACAUUGCCUUUUGGUAGAACUGUUGAAUGCAGAAGCUUAAUAACUGUAAUUUUACUUUCUCUAAUUCUGAAAACCAUAAACAGGACCUAUAAAUGAUUCCACUGAUGAUAUCAAUAUAUCUUCCAUGGAGACCAUUGAAUUGUAUGAUGGGGUGAAGCUCGAGGAUAGCUGUCAUAUUCCCGAUGUUACUGCACUUUAUGCUGUCUCUCAUAUAAUGAAUAAACACAAAUCAUACAAGGUUGGUCUGUCUGUCUCUCUCUCUCUCUCUCACACACACACACAGACAGGCAGGUGCAUUGGAGAUCUUCUUUGCAACAUGAGAAAUAGCAUUCUCCAAUACAAUUUUCUGUUUUCAGUAAAUUCUUAUGAGAAAAUUGUAUGUUCGCAAUGCAAAUACAGUUGAUAUUAUGAAUAUCUCUGCACACAAGUCAUUUAUCAUGCAAAGUACUGGCGAUUUAAUAGUCAGUUUUGCUUUAUGCAUCUUGAGACAUGCAUUACUAUACAAAUGAAAACGAACUUUAAGCUACUUUCAGUGUGAUGCUUCAGACAACUGGGACUGAAUUGGAAUGUAUGCCUUACCUGAUAGGAGCUUCUUUUACUUCCAAUAUAAUCCUUUGCUAAUUUUCUGAUUUUUCAUUUGCUUUCAAUAGAAAAGAAUCAAGGAUGCUUUAACUUCGAAAAAGAGGCUGGUGAAAGAGUAUGAGCAGCUAGCAAUAUGGUUUGGAGAUGCGGACAUGGGGUCAGACCACAAUCAUUUCCAAACUCCACAGCCGUCAUCCUCCACUGCAACCUCAAAGUCCAAAAAUACGCAAACGGAACUUGUAUGUGAUUCUGACUGGGAACUCCUUUAACCACUUAAACAAAUUAUGUUGAUCAGAUUAGCUUCAACCGGGUUCAUUCUCAAGCCUUUUCCUUGUGCCAUAAGAAUGAGAUACACUGUGAAUAUUCGUUUAUAUGCAGGUAAUCAGUCUGUCUUGUAAAUUAAAUUUCUAUCAUAAAUGGCACACAUUUCAAAGUUCAGUAUAUACCUAUUUCUUUUAUAUAUUUUUCUCAUACAUAUUCAGUGGACAUGAACCAUUUCUUCACACUCAAGCUUGAUAGCUGAGAUACCUUUUUGCAUCAUCAUUUUGACGUUCAUCUCCAAUUUUUUGACAAGCAAUACUGUUGAAUUUACAAAAAAUUUUGAUAACUCUGCAACAAAUAUGCAUACAAAAUCUCAUUCCAUGUAUCAGGUACUCCUGGUAAGCACCAAUGAAUGCAAUCAGCAAAAUUUAGUGGGUCAGCUUUUUGUUCCUUUGUCAAGAGCUUGCCUCUUCGUUCUCCGAAAACUGUCGUAUGAGCAUCUUUCCUAUAUUCUGAUAACUGGGUAAUGUUCAAAAAUGUGACAUUGAUUUUAAGGUCUUGUAAAACUUCAUGAAGUAUCUCCAUGAUAGCUAGGUUAGACCCCGUGCCCCAAUAUGAACCUUGGAUGGGGUAAGACUCAUUGAAGCAGUUUCCACGGCUGCCUGGCUUCCAUUCCCAGCUCCUAGAAUGGAAAAUUUCACAACAAUUAUAAGCUUUUCUUCCCAUUGUAAAUGAAAGAUUUUCUAAUUUAAAUAACCAGUAGAACUCACCACAAGUGUGUUGGGGACAUACUCAUGAAAAAAACCUUUUGAAGAUGAGGAUUAAUGGUGGAUUCUAACCAAUUCCCCCAAGUUUCCAUUGCAAUUCUAUAGGCAGUUGUGACAUUAUAUUCUUGAACAUCCUCCAUGGAUCCGUAGCUGAAACCAAUGGCCAAAAUGAGUGUCAAAUAUGGAUAUUAUUUUAUAGCAGAUUUGUGGAUUCUGAUUUAGAUGGAUAUGUUCAAUUUAGAUUUGUGAUUCCGAUUCAGAUGGAUAUAUUCAAUUUAAGAUUUUAUAACAGAUAUGUGGGUUCCGAUUUAGAUUGUACGUCGUACUUACGUAGCGUUGAUCUGAGGUCUAUACAUCCACCAUACAUAGCUCUCAAAUACUAACACAUCCACUCCUUCCCAGCUCUUGCCAUGUUUAGAUAUGGAGUCAAGGUUGACCAGACGUUUUAAUACAGUAUGAUUUGUCGCAUGGUCUGAGAUAGAUUCCACAAUGAAUGGAGCCCAAUAGUACUCAAUAGUUGCAUUGUACUCCUGUAUUAUAAUCACCAACAAGCAAAUCAUAUCACAUAAAUCUUGAAAAAGUACACUGCAAUUGUAAGUAUUAUGGCUAAUGAGGAUGCAGGUUUAAGUACCUUGGCUUUGAAGAUCUUCCUAGGAGGAUCUCUUUUAAAAGAUUUCUUCCCUUUGGGAACCACAGAUUGUACCAGGCAGACCAUUGAUUCAAAUUGGGCUCUUUGAACUGAAUCCCCUAUGAACAUCAACCUUUUGUCCCUCAAAAUGUCCAAUAGCUUCAAUGGAUCAAACCUGCAAGUCACUGCAUACUUUAACUAAUUCCCUAUUUACUUUCAUGUAUAUACAUGCAUAUACAUAUAUAUAUAUGUAUGUAUGUAUACCUUGGUAGGUUGCAUGCUUGAGGCUGCCAUCUCCAGUUUUGGUAAAAAGAAUCGGGCCUGCCAUUUUUUAGACAAGUUGUUUGUUUAACCAAGUAAGGGCAGCUAUUUUCUUCAUAAAGAGGAUAUGAGACAUUGUCCCAAACCCAUUUCCCUUCAAACAGGUUGCAGCUUUCAUCCAUCCGAUCUUCCGGUAAAACAAAAAUCGAUUUCCUCAGCUUCUCCGGUUUGCCAUAGUACUGAAAUACAUAGCUUUUGCCACUCUUCAAGCUAUCAAACACUAAUUGUGCUGUUCCUAAAACAAGAAGGGAAGCUAAUAAAACAGGAAACAAUGAUUGGAUCCUCUCUGCAGAUUGCCCCUUCAUUGAGCUCAAGAGGAUUAGGGAGACAAAGGGUUUUUCUUUUAGUUCAUUUGUUGUUACAGUUUUUUUUUUCAAUGUAUUUGAAGACUUAUCUUCAAACUUAAGCUCUCAAAAAAAAAAAUAGCACCUACCUGCUGUUAGGAUCAAGUUUAGAUAGCAAGUUAAAGAUGUUCAAUGCAACCUGUAACAAGUUUGUCAUCAUGAAUGAAAGUGAACCAACAUGCGGAAAUUGAAUCGAAAAUCAUAUGAUCUGUUGGUAGAAUAUGGGACUCGGUCAUAGUAACCAAAUUGGUAUCUUAAAAGUACCCCAAAGAAAAAAAAGAGAUUGAGAAAAGGUGCAACAUCAAAUUCCCAGAACUAAACAAUGAACAUCAAUGGUUGGUAGCUUUGAAUUUGCUGUUGUUGGUUCAUCUUUUACUUCUUUUGAACUUCAUAUAUGCUUUAGAUUGUGACACUUUGGGGGUUUAAAAAACUGAUCCAUGUGGAAACUUGAAUCAUAGAUUACGGCUAACAAUUGUUGUUGGUCUUCAUUUAGAAUCCAUGGAAUUGAACUUGGUUUCUUUUUGGUCAGUUUGGUGACAUGUCUGAUUUUUUUUUAUUUGUCAAUAAAUAUAUAACAACUAUUUUUGUUUUAAGAAUUAAAUGAGAAAUUGGCACCUGCACAUCUUCGUACUUAAAUUUUUGUUGUAUGUUAUAUAAUUAACUACCAACUAAAUACAAAUUGUCAAGUUUAAGGGCUAAAAUAUGUAUUAAUUCAUUAUAUAUUUAUAUAUAUUUAUUUUAUAUAAUUUAUAUAUUAUAAAAAUAGAAUUUUUGGAGUUUUAAAAUUUUUAUUUUUAUUUUUUAAAUGUAUAUAUAUAAUUUUAUAUAAUUAAUCUAUAACUAUUAUUAAAGUUAGCAGUAAGUGGAAUUUUUAGAUUCCACAAAUAAGGUCAUGGGUUGAUAUGUAUCCUAUAAAGUUAUAAUAAAACAUUAAAAUAAAUAAAUAUUAAAGAGAAACAUAUGUGUUACCACUACAUUUAACAUUUGUUGGUGAAUGCUUUUUAUUAUAAUAAAUGAGAUAUUUAAAAUAAAGAAAAAGUAGUUUUUAGGAAAGCAGUAAUAAAAAAAAGUAAAAACUAUUAGAAAAGUAGUAAUAAAAAAAAAGUAAAAACUAAUGCAAAAGUUACCAAUAUUUCAAAAUAUAUAUGAUUUAUUUUAUAUUUUAAGAUUUUUAUUUAUUUAUUGGUGCUACUAAGUAGAGUAAUUUCAAACACUUAAUAGUCAGGGGUGAAAUCAAAAAAUAAUAAUUAGUGAUCGAAAUUAAAUUGUAAUUUUUAUGAUAAUAAAAAUACAAUUUCAUCAUUUUAAUAGUUUAUAUUUUUAUAAUUUUUAAAUGAUUAAAUCAAAUUUUAUCAUUUUUUAGGGGGUCAAAAUACAAUAUUAUCUUUACAAAUUUAAAUUUUUUAAAAUUUUAAAGGGGAUUUUGUAUUUUUUUUUUAGAAAAGAUUUUGUAUGAUUUAUUUUGUAGUUUAGGAUUAUGUUUUUGGGCAAAUAACCAAAAAAGGCCGUUUUUUUUCAAAAUUUACCGAAAUGGGCUGGUUUUUUAAUUAUUUACCGGAAUGGGCCAUUUUUCGCGAAAUAGCGUCCACGUCAGCGCGAUGUCAGGGUACGCGCAGGAAAUCGCGUCCACGUCAGCGCGAUUUGCUGACGUGGAAGGAAAUCGCGCCCUCUAGACGCGAUUUGCUGACGUGGCAUGAACAAUGUGUUUUUAGCUUGGAAAACUUUAAAAGGCCAUAACUUUUGGCUCGGUUGUCCGAUUGAGACAAAAUUUUUUUUGAUUUCGAAUAAAUUUUCGAGAUCUACGCGCUGGAAAACUGCUUAGAGAUGAAUAGGGACUAAUUUGUAAAUUAUAAUUUGUUAGUUACGAGUAUAGGGACUAAAGUGUAAUUAUUUCAAAAUUAGCACGAAAUUUUUUUAUUUAAGAAUAUUUGAAUGUUAUGGAAGGAUGAAAUUGAAUUUGAAUUGAAAAACGAAGCUUAGAUUUGAAAAUAUGACUAUUUAGGUUUUAGGGACUAAAUUGAAUAAAAUGGAAAAUUUUAGGGAACUUCUCAAAAGUGGAAUGAGCUGACUUAUACCUAUAACAGGAUGAUAUAAGACAAUUCUGUAAAAAAAUAUCCGGUGUUUACUUCAAAUAAAUGAGGAAAAUAACGAUUUGAAUGUUUCAAAAUUUAAUUUUAAACCGAAAAAAUCAAAAUUUAGGGGCAAAAAAGGAUCUUUUUCGAUGAAAACUUCAGCAAACCGCCUUCAGCAGUUUUCCAGUGCGUAGAUCUUGAAAAUUUAUUCGAAAUAAAAAAAUUCGUCUCAAUCGGACAACCGAGCCAAAAGUUAUGGCCUUUCAAAGUUUUCCAAGCUAAAAACACACUAUUCAUGCCACGUCAACAAAUCGCGUCCUAGAGGGAGCGAUUUCCUUCCACGUCAGCAAAUCGCGCUGACGUGGACGCGAUUUCCUGUGCGUACCCUGACAUCGCGCUGACGUGGAUGCGAUUUCGCGGAAAAUGGCCCAUUCCGGUAAAUAAUUAAAAAACCGGCACAUUUCGGUAAAUUUUGAAAAAAACCGACCUUUUUUGGUUAUUUUCCCUAUGUUUAUAUAUAUAUAAAUAUAUUUUAUUGGUGCUACCGGGUUGAGUAAUCCCAUACACACUUAAGAGCUAUAUACUAGUAUUAUAGUUGUGUGACUUGAAUUUUAUCAUUUGUUAAAGAAAUAAAAUAUGGACCAUGCCACAUAAGUAAAAUUCAUAUAGAACUACACUUCUUUUAUUUGACAUUGAUUAGAAUAAGAUUUUUUUAACCUUUAAAUAGAUGUAAUUGAAACUCUUCUUGUGUCAUUCGUUUUUCAAUAUUAGUGAAUUUAUUCUCCUCUGCCUGAGGUUUUUUCCCGAAAAGAUUUCCACGUAAAAUCUGUGUGUUCUUAUAUUUCUUAUUUUGCUAUCCUUCUAUUGCCAUUAUCGAUGUCUAUUAUAACAAUUAGUAUAGAUUUUGUAUUAUUUAUCGUAAUGAUUAUAUUUUAAGAUUAAAUUAUUUUCCUAAAAAAAAAGUCUAAAUUCAUUUGCUUUCAAUGGUUAUAGAUGUGAUGAAGAUUUCUUAAAAUGGUUUUUUUUUUUUUGCAAUAUAUAAUAAAUCCUGUCAAAAUUAUUUUCGUGUUAUGUAUUAAUUAAAUUUAAAAAAAUAUGUCUUCUUUUGAACUCUUAUGUGUCAUGUUUUAAAUUAUUAUACGUUCUGUAUAAUUGAUUAUAAUUGUUCAAUUUUUAAAAAUAUUAUAUGUAAGCUUUAUUUUUUUUAAGUAUUAUGAAUUUAUAAAUUUAUUUGGUUGAUUGAGUCUUAAUUUGGCAGUGCACAAAUCGAAAGCUAAAAUCUUCCAGCUUCUAAGCACAGAUUCGACCCAGUUAAUUCCCUGCAUAAUUCGAGAUAGACCCAUGGUGGGCUUUUGGCAAAGAUGGCGUUUUGAUAAAUUCGUGUCAAUGUGAAGAUUAUUAGAGCUGUGUGACCCAAAUUCUAAGAGAUUGCUUGCAAGUGAAGUUAAAUAAAAUAUAUUUUCUCUCUAGAAGAUUUAGUAUUUAUUAGUAUAAUAUAUAUAGCAUUUAUUAGCAUAAUUUAUUUGACCUAAGAAUUUUGUCUAUAAAUAAGCUAUUUUACAACCUUAGAAAAAACACCCAUUAAAUAUUAGAACUCAUAAUAUUUUUUGAAGAAUUUUGUGUUUACGUUUUAAAGGUUCUUUAUUUUUCGGGGUUUAGUUUUUAUCUCCAUCUUUGUACUUUUCGUUCUUUUGCUAUUAUAGUAAAAUUAUCUUUACCCGUGAUUUUUUAUCCUCUUUGGAUGAAUUUUUUCACGUUAAAUUUGUGUGUUCAAUUUCUCAAUUUCUUCUGCUAUUUUUACUUGUUCGUUGUUUAACCGAGUCGAUCCGUAACGUGAAGCUUAAGUGUUUGCAAGUGUUUAAGGUUUCCAAUUGAGUGGGGUAACCCUUUUCAAAACCUUGUCCAUCAAACAUCUAGUAAACUAAAGGGACCACUCCAAUUUGUUUCAGGUAGAUAAUUGACCUUAAAGUGCAAAAUGAUAUUUUUAAGAUAUGGAAGAUGGAAAACUUGGGUUGGAAAUUUUCCUUGUAGAUGACAGGAAGUGAGACUCAUAUGCUUCAUUGAGACAGUCAAGUUAAGGAAAGAAUAGGGUACAACCAAAGGCAAAUUUAUAUAGUGAAGGACCAUAUAUAUUUUCUAAUUUUGUAAUGUUAUGGACAAGCAUGUUAAAAUCAUGGUUCCUAAAAGUCAAAAGUCUAUUCUUACUAAGAUCAAGUGAAACUAGUUGUGACAAAAGAGAGAUUUCAAGUGGCACAAAACCAGUGAGUCCCAUGGCACAGAGAUUGAGAUGUGUUAAGACUCCUUAACUUGCUAAACUCAUAUGGGAUUUCAGAGUUGUUGAAAUCAUUGCCAGCAAGGUUGAGCCAUCGGAGGUUUUGGAGUGAGAAGAGGUCACUAUUUGAUUGGAGAGAACCAUUUAACCCACUACAACUGAGAUCAAGGCCAACCACAUUGCUUUCCUUGUUAUCACACAUCACACCCUUCCAUUUGCAGCAGUCAAUUCCUUCAUCCCAAGAAUCCGCCUUAAAAGAAGAAUCAAGAGUAUGAACAGUAUGUUGCCGAACUCUGCUCGGGAGGACAUAAAUGUGGUGGUGGAAGAGACGAAGAAAGGGAUAGCAGCAAUGAAGAAUUCAACAAGACAAGAAGGAAGCAGGUUGACCAACAACCCAUCUUUAUUUUACAAAUUGAAACCAAAAAGAUAAAUAAGAGUUUGGCUGUGGAGUUGCUUAUAUAUAAGUUUCAACCGGAAACAAUUACCAUCAGAGCAAACCACUACCAAGUACCAACCUUUGGCAUUUCUCAACUCACUCAUUUACCCUCUUUUUUUUUUUUUUAAUCUUUUGAUUGGACAUAUCCAGCAAUGGCCGGAGACUUUGAAAUAUUGAAGAACAACAAUUAUUAAGACCAACCCAUCAUCGUAUAGACUCCAUUUGUCAUUAUCGCAGUGACGUUUCCUUAAAAAGGUGCAGGGUCAAACUCCCAAAACUAGACAACGAACAUCAAUGGUUGGUGGUAGCUUAAAUUUUUUCUGUUGCUUCAUGUUUUACUUCUUCUUGACUUUAUAUUUGCUUUUUAGAUUGUGACACUUUAGGGGUCUGGAAAACAGAUUUGAACAGUAGAUUAUGACUAAUUGCUGCUGAUGGUCUGCUGUUUUAGAAGCCAUGGAAUUGAGCUUAAUUGCUUUUUGGCCAGUUUGGUCAUAAAUCCAUGUUUGGUCUUUUACCAUUCUUUCUCAAUAAAUACUUAAAAUAAAUCUCAGAAUUAUACACUAACUUUGAUUCGAUGUGUAAUUCAAUACAUGAAUUUUGAUUUGGUGCAAUUAUACACAUAAAAAUUUUAUUGUAAUUCAAAAAUGUACAUGAAAUUUGAUUUUGAUUCAAUAGUAUAUAUUAAAUAAAUAUUUUAUAUUUAUAUUUAUUUUAUAUUAAAUAAGUACUCAAUAGAUAAACUUAAAAUGGUGCUCUAUUAAUAAUUUUGUUAGUAGUUUAUGAAAACUAAGUCAAAUUAAAAUUUAAUAUAUAAAAUUGCAAGAAGUCAAAAUUCAUGUAUAAUAUUACUAACAUGACACUAUUUAUUUUAUAUGUAUUAUGUUAACAAAUAAUUUAAAAAUAUUCAAAAUAAUAAAAAAUUAUGAACUAGAAAUUAUACAAAUUCAAAAAAAAAAAAUCAAGAGAAACAUGGGUGAAGCCAGAAAAUUCUUUUAGGGGAGGCCGAAAUGCAAUUUUAAUUUUUAAUAGUCUAUAUCUUUAUAAUUUUUUUAAAAAUAAAUUAAAUUUUUAUAAUUUUAAAAGGGUCAAAAUAUAAUUUUACUUUUAUUAAUUUAAAAUUUUAAAAAUUUCUAAAGAACCUAAAAAAUAAUUUUUUAUUUUAAAAAUUCCGGAGAUACGAGCUCCUGAAUUCGCGUCUGAAGAGAAAUACACAUAAAUUGCCAUUGCCAAAAUCUAAAUCGCCACAAAAACCAAAAAAAAUGAGCCAAAGUUUACUCAAAGAUAAGCAAACUUAUCCUUCACUCAUUUCCUACCAAAUGAUUUUAAAAGCAUGUCAAAUUAAAUCAUCCUUUUUAUAGAAAGAAACACAAAUAUAGAAUACUAACUGUAGGUGGAAUGACUCCUUCCCGUCAGCAUUAUCUUCUACCCCUAAUCUAACCUUAUAAAUUUUAAAAAUUAUGAAGAUUAUCUAAUCUAAAAAUUAUGAAAAUGAUCUAACUUUAAGAUUAAUUAUAGGAAUGAUCUAAUUUCUAUUGUAGAGUGGAGGUGCCGCCACAUUUUUAGGUGGUAUCACCUUCAAAAUCUCCCAAUCAUACUUUAAUCAUUACAAAAAAUUAAAGAAAAAAAAAAUUUUUUGGUGUCACCUAACAAAUUGGCAGCACUGGACUGAAGCGUGCAAAGGCAAAACUUUCAGGGACCUGAUGAAGUAAUUACUCUUUUCAGAAUAUGUCGCCUAAUACUGGGUGAGCGUUUGAUUGAAUCGAGUGAAAAUUUUUCGAGAUAGAGUUCGCAAGUCCUAUUUUAUUAUCCUAACUCAAUUUGAAUUUUUUUUAAUCGAGUGAAUGAAAUUCGAGUCGAGUCGAAUCGAGUCGAGUCGAGUUGAGUCAAAUCAAGAAUUAUUCGAGUUUAAAUUAAAAAAUUAAACAUAUUAGAAUAAAAAUAUUGCUACAGUAUAAUUCAAUGUCAGAACACAUAAAUUUAAAACCAUAUAUCUUUGAAAAACUUUUCAAAGCAAAAUAAAAGAAAAAUAUAAUUGAGUAUCAUAAAUUUGAAUAACUAAUUAGGUUCCAAAAUUAUUAUUUUAGAAAAUUUUUAAAAUCUUAACUUUUUUAUAUAUUUUUUAGAAUUUUUAGAAUUUUUUAAAUAUAAAUUUUGAAAAUUUUAUAAAUAUUUUGAAUUUUAAAAAUUAUUUUGAAAUUUUUUUCGUAAUUUUUGUUGAAAGAGAGAUUAAUUUGUUUAUUUUCAAAGUUGAGAGGGACCAAAAAGGUAUUUGCACCAAUAUAUUAUUUGAAUUAUUUGAAUUAUUUGAGAUAUUCGAAUUAUGAAAUUCAACUCAACUCAAACUUGAAACUAGAACCGAUUUAUACGAGUCAAGAUUUAUUCGAGUUGACUCGUAUAAAUCGAAUAACUCGAUUCAAUUUAACUCAAAAUUUGAAAAAAGAAUUUUGAGUUUUUUGAAUCAAAACGAGUUUUACUCACCCCUACCUAAUAGUAUAGCGACACCAAAUUAAACUUUUGAUUUAUUUGCAAGUUAAGUCUGUCCCCUUUUGAAAUUAAUUUUAAAUAACCCUUAAAAGAUAUAAUAAUAACAAAAAUAAACUCUUCUCAUUUUUUUAUUUUUUUAAAAACAAUAAACUUAAAAAAGUAUAUAAAAUUCUUAUUUAAAUUACUCAAUAUGUCCCUAAAAUUUUUUUUCUCAAGUUUAUCUAAAUUCAAAUAUUCUAGGAAAUAAAUUGAAAAUGUUAAAAUUUAGAUAAACUUGAGGAAAAUUUUUUUAGGGAUAUAUUUGAGUAAUUUAAAUAAGAAUUAUAUAUAUAUUUUAAUUUUGUUGUUUUUAAAAAAAUAAAAAAUGAGAAUGGUUUAUUUUUUGUUAUUUUUAUAUCUUUUAAGAGGUAUUUAAAUUUAAUUUUAAAAAGUACAGAUCUUAUGCCCUCGUACUCACAAGUGGCACCUAUUCAACCAAUUCAAAAAGGAUAAUUAAUCUAUUAUGUCCCUGAACGUUUUGCCCCUUACAUGCUUCAGUUCGGCAGUGCCACUUUAUUAGGCGACAUCAAAAAAUUCUAUUUUUAUUUUUUAUAAUAAUUAAAGCAUGAUUGGGAGGAUUUUUAGGGUUGUGCUGCCUGUGAAAGUGGCUGCACCCAACUCUACUAUAGAAAUCAAGACAUUCUCAUAAUUAAUCUUGAAGUUAGGUCAUUUUCAUAAUUUUUAAAAUUUAUAGGGUCAUUCCUAAAAAAACCCGCUAACCAGAAGAUCGUCCAAUCUAGCAAAUGCCUCUGCCUUUUCCCGAGCCAUAACAACAAAAUGAUUCGCACAACAAUUACCCUCUAGCAAGAUAUGGUGCACCUCAACGACCCAACCCUCACUUCUGAGAGCCAAACUAUCUGCAACAAAGGUCCCCAUCGGGGGGCUCGCGUCAAACGACCGUGAAAGCAUCUGAACAAUAAGAAUCGCAUCUAAUUCGAUUAUUAACUGAGUGGCACCAAGUGCCCGAGCUAAACACAACCCUUCGCGUACCCCCAACAAUUCCACUUGAAGACUGUUAGUACAUCUGAUUUUCAACAUGAAGCCACAGAUCCACGCUCCUCUCUCAUCACGCACCAGACCGUUAGUUAAAGCCACUUGUAUCGUUGCGCUAAACGCGCCAUUUGUGUUCAGAAUGCAGCAACCCAAACGGAGGUGGUUGUCAUAUUGUACCCAGCGAGGAGUAUGUUGUAUUCUUGGAACCACUAACUGAUUCUCUUUGCCAAUCUCCCAGGUAAAUUGUUGCGCAUAACCAAUGACCUGUAUUGGCAAUCUAAGCUCCUCUUAAAGCACUCUUAUUACGAGCUUUCCAUAAUCCCUCAAAAAGCCAUAAUGAAUAAAGUAUCCCAUAGUGACCAUCAAAAUGAGGAAUAGAUGGUUAAUCAAAGUUGUCGGUGACCAUCACUUUGUU
rnacentral:lncRNA from 1 species